rnacentral:lncRNA from 1 species
CUCUCUCUCUCUUUACCUCUAUUCAAAUAAAAUUUUUGAAAAAAUGAUCAAACUUUUCGUCUUUCAUUAAAAUAUUAUAAAAUAGACAAAAUCUUCUUUUCACCUUUUAAUAAAUUAUAGUCACCAACAAAUAUUUAAUUAUUUACCUAAAAUUUAGAACUUUUUUACCAUACCUUUUACGUAUAAAUUUUUUAAAAAUUCUUUUUUCUCCAAGGACAACCGUUCACAAUUUUUUUGGUGGCAAAAAAUAAUUGUCUUAUGUCUGAGUUAGAAUACUUUGAUUUUUUUCAGAUUCAUUAUAGCUUUAGAGUUUUCUUUGAAAAAUAGAUUCUUUGUUGAGGUUAGGUUUUUGUUUAGGUUUAAUCGCAAAUGUGUUUGUGAUUUGAGGUAAGUUUUCUAAAAUUUUGGUAUGAUUUUUAUAUUUAUAAAAAUAAAUUGUCAUAUACUUUGAUAGAUAGACGAUUGUUAAUUAAGAAGUUUUCUUUUGUGAUUUAAGUAUGUUCUUGAAGUUUAAAAUAAUAAAUUAUCAUGUAUUUUUGAUAGAUUAUUGGCAAUUGAGAAGUUUUCUGUGAUUUUUAUUUAUAAUAAUUUAUUAAUAUAAUAGAUAUAGGAAUAUCUCUAAAAGAUCAAGUUCAUACCUUAAUCGUAAAAUAUGAUUUAAUUAAUGUAUCUGUUAGAGAAUUAUUUUCAUAAACCUAUUUAUUCACAUAAGUAUGUCAUGAGAACUUGCAAACCCAACAUCAUAUAUUUGUUAAAUCCAAUUCAAUAUCACUUGCUUGAAUCAAAAUAGAAGUGGAUUAAAUGAUAGGGUGCAAUAGCCACUUUUUAAUUGCUGAAUUUUUCUUUACUUUAUUGUAGUUUAGAAUGUGUUUUGAUAGGCGUUUGUCCAUAAAAGUAAAAAAAAAAAACCGGAGUUAAGUUGAAGUUGGAGUUGUAAUUAAAAUUAUAGAUUUAGUUGAGUUUGACUAUGAAUAUAUAUUUUGUAAGAGAAAUGAGAAUGAAAAAAGUGAAUACAAGUUGAGAUUUGUUUCACUUUUUCAAAGUUGUAUUUGGAUUUUGUACAGCCAAACAUCAUUUCUUGAAUAAAGUGAAAAAUAUUUUCGAAAAGAAUUGUUUUCUCAUGGCCAAACUUAGCCUAAGUGUAUUAAUACGAACAUAAUUUUAACUUUUGAUAUUAAUGAAAAAUUUUGUUCAAUACAUUUAAUUUUGCUCCUUAAUUAUUAGUAUGAUAGUUGGUUAUCAUGUUCCUCUUUAAACACACUUUUUAGGUUAAAAAAUUUCCGUUAAUUUUGAUAAAAUUUAAAAUUGUUGAUUUCUCCCUAAAAGAUAAUUUUUCUCUUUGCUGAUUAUCAUAUUUUAUCCAUCAAUAUGAAGAUGCGAAGAAAAUAAUACGAGAUGCCAUACUAUUGAAAUAUAAUAUUAUAUAUAUUAUUUAAAUAGACAUAUGUUUGUUUCAACGCCAGUUGAUACUUUUAAUAUAUAGUUUUAUUGUUUGAUGCAAGACACACAUGCAAUGCACGUACACUAACCUAGUUCAAAAAAAAAUAAGAGGGAGUUGACGCAUAGUCAAGUAUGUAGGCUCAGUGGCGGACCCAACUUUUUUAGGUUGUGGGUGCUCAAAAAAAAAUUUACUAAACAAUGCAGCUACAGGGAUUCGAUCCCAGGAUGGGAGACAUGAAAGUUAUAUCUAAAGCUAAAGCACCCAACCAUGCUUUUGUUCUCUGGGUGCUUUUGUAUAUAUUUUACCAUUUUUUCAUUGUUUCUAAUAUAAUUAUACCUCUUUUAGGUCAAGUUUAGUAGGUGCUCGAGCACCCGAAAAUUGCAUGUCGGUCCGCCCAUGUGUAGGCUGAUGGUUAAAAGUAAACACAAACUAUAAAAAAAAAAUGUAAUGUUCUACUAUUAAAACUGAAAAUUAUAUUUUGAAUUAAAGUCAACAAAUGAAAUGUAAUUCUUAAGUGGGGCUUAGAAGAAUAGAGUAUACGUUGACCUUACUCCUAUCUUGAAAAGGAGAAACAGAAUAAUGUCAAUUCAUUUUUUUAAGUACCAGCAGUCCAAGAAAGUCGCUAAAAUACACAAUGUGCAAGGACUUUUCGAUUCUUGUAGGAUACAAGCACAAAAAAUAAGUUCAACUAAUCCAAUGGAAAAAAACGACAAAAGUAAACUCUGGAACAUAAGUAAACAAACAAUAACCAUUUUAGAUAAAUCCGAGUCUGUCUUUCAUACAUCCAUAACAAUCAAGAAAAAGAUAUUUAGCUAAGUACAUAACGCAUUUCAAGAGAUAAAUUGGACAAUUACAUGACAUAACUAAUCUUCUCAAGACUUGAAAAGAAAAAAGAAAAAAAAAAAAGAAACAUUGACAAACAAAAUUAAGAAUUACCAAAAUAUUUACUUAUUUUUCGUUUAUUUAAGUACAAAUGUCACAAAAGAAUCCAUCGAACAUAUCAUCUAUGAAAACACCUUCAAUUAGGACAAUUCAAAUCUCAUCAUUUUGUAGUAAAUCGACAAAUCAACAUGUUUGAUAAUUGUAUAUGAUCAUCCAAAAGCAUAGAACAAAACAAAAAUAUUAACCAAUUAAAUUCAAAACUCUCAAAUCUUUUUUAAUUCACAAACAAAGAAAAUAAUUAAAACUCCCGAACUCUUGAACACGUACUCGAUUCUUUGUCACUUCGAUUUCCACCACGCAUUCAUAACAACCUAGGAAAAGAUAUCUAGCUAAGCACAUAAAGCAUCUCAAAAUAUCAAAAUAUAAUCUUAUAUUUCGAAUUUAACAAAUAAGUGUAAUUAAAAAUUCAACUAUAAUACUAACAAAUAAUGUGUCAAAAUAUAGUAAAUUAACAUAAUCAAAGCUAAUCAAAAUUAAGUAACAAUUAAAAAACAAAGAGAAAGAGAUAAACCUUUGAUAUUUUGGCUACUUCAUUCGGCAUCAAUAUGCUUAUUUUGUCCAAUUUUUCGAUUCAAAAUUCUAAACUGAAAAAGAAAAAUAUCAAAAAAGGAGAAUUUGCUGUCAAUUAUUGAUUAUAUAUAAUUAAUAUAUAAUAUAUAAAGAUAUUAACUAAAAGAAAUUUAAAAAAAAAAAUUAAAAAGAUGAUGAUGCAAAAAUAUGACUUGAAUCAUCAAAAUCAAAAUAUAAGAAGAAAAAAGUAGAAGUAAAAGAAGUAUACCUUUUCUAGUAAAUUUUAAUUUGAUCCAUCCAAAAAUAUUACUUAAACAGAGUUAGAGAAAUUCUUUUUUAUAUAAAGUAAAAUUUUAAUUAAUUUAGAAGUAUUAAAUAUUAUGAUUUCUUACCUAAACUAAUAACAAAAACUAAAAAAACAUAAAUAAAAUUAAGUGCAACUUUUUUUUUAUCUAAUUUAAAAAGAAUACAUUAGAGCCCUUUAACAUAGAGACAAAAUAUAUCUACACAAUUUCUUACAUGCUCUUUUCUUUAAUAUUUUUCUUUUUUAAUUCUUUUUUUUGGAACAUGAGUUUCUUCUUCUUUUUUUACUUUUCAUGUUUUCUUUCUUUUAUUCCUUUUUUUUUUUUUACGUGAUUAAGUGAUUUGUCAAUUAAGGAAAGUUUAUUAGUUAGAAUUAAAAGGGGAGAAGGACUCUUAAAAUUAAUUGUCAAAUAUUUUUAUAUUUUAUAAUCAAUUAAAAAAAAGUGAAAAGACCGUUUUGUCUAUUGCAGAUUAGUUUAACGAAGGAUAAAAAGUUCAAAUCAUUUUUUUAAAGAGCUUCACACUUUUAAUAUAUCAUAGAUUUAUCAAUUAAGGAAAGUUUAUUAGUUAGAAUUAAAAGAGGAAAAGGACUCUUAAAAUUAAUUGUUUAAAUAUUUUUAUAUUUUAUAAUCAAUUAAAAAAAAGUGAAAAGACCAUUUUGUCUAUUGCAGAUUAUUUUAACGAAGGGCAAAAAGUUUAAAUCACUUUUUUAAGGAGCUAUUAUAUGAAUUGUCAAAAAGUUCAAUUCAGAUUAUUAGAAAUGUGAAUGAAUUGUCAUACAUAUUAAUUCAAAUAUGAAUUAAAAAAGAAAUCUAACAAAAAAGAAAUCGAAAAAAUGAAGGGCUAGUCCAUCCCAACUUGCGAUCCUUAGGUCUGGAUUGGACAUAUAUUUUAGGGCCCUCUAGAGUAAAGGGUCUGCUUAUCCUUCUUUGGCCAAUGAGGCUCGUUUGAGUUAGGUUGGCCCAGUCCAUUUUGAUGAUCUAUUUAUGUUGUAAGCCUUAAAAUCUAUAUUUAUAAUCUAUAUCUAUAUCUAUAAUAUAUUAAAAGUGUGAAGGUUUUUAGAAAAGUGAUUCGAACUUUUUAUCCUUUAUUAAAAGAUUUUGCAAUAGACAAAAUCGUCUUUAGAUUAUUUUUUUCUCAAAUUAUAAAAUUUUAAAUUAAAUAAUAUCUUUUCUAUCAAGGUUUGCUCCAUAAGAAUCCUAUUGCUAAGAAACAAACUUUUACAUCACAAUUAGCCGUCAAUAUAUAGAUCCUAAUAAACUUAAACCUUACUAAAUUAUAAAUUAGGACAAAAUAACUAAGCAAAGCAACUACUCCAAGCCUAAAAAAUAUCAAACUGACAUAUUUAUGUGCAGUUAACUGUAGGCCCUUACAAACCUAAACCCCAGUCCUAAAUUAUAAAUUAGGAAAAAAUUAACCAACUCCGAACCAAAAUAUACCAAAAUAGCAUGUUUAACUAUUUUCUUUUAUUUGGCAUAUUCUAGCAAGAUAAGAAAUUAGAACAUUUAACACUUUUAAAUCAAUUAAAAUUUUACUUUAUAUAAAAAAAAUUAUAUAAUUCUAUUUAUGUACUAACAUCCGCUUCUUCUAUCUCUAAGUUUUUUUUUUUUUUUCUUAUUUUGAUUUUUAUUGAUCUAAGUUAUUUUUCUUGCAUUCAUUAUCAUCAUUUUUUCUAUCUUUUUUUUUAAUUAAAAAAAAAUCUUUUAGCUUGCAGCUUUAAAAAUUAAGUAUAAAUUAACCAACAAUUGAUAAUAAAUUCUUCUUUUCUAAUAAUUUUUUGUGUUUUCACUUUCUGUUGAAAGUUUCUAAUAAUAUACACAUGUUGCUGCCAAAUAAAGUUAUCAGAAAAGUCAAAGAUUUAUCUGUUCCGUAGUUUAAGCCGUGACUCAUAUACCUUUAUCGUGCAUAUUUUGAAUGCAAUAAUUUUUCAAUCUACAAUUAAGGUACUUCCGUCCAUAGAUUUUCUACAAAUUAAUUAUUUAUUUAUAACUUUUUUCUUAUUUUUUAGUCUGAAUAUAAUAAUCUCUAUCAAUGUUAACGAGUCAAUGAUCAGGAGGCCAAAUUUAAAUUUUUCAAUGUUCAAUAAGUAUGAUUUUGUUUUAAUUUGCUUUCUUCUUAAGCUCUUUAUUAUUUUGUGACUUUGAAUUUUCUUAUUUUUUACUCAUACACAUAAAAUUGUAAUCUAACAAUUUUAUUGAUUGAUGUUUACAUAUCUCUUAGUAUAAACUUUAGACAUGUAUUAAAUUUUAACUUAUUUAUAAAAUGUAAGAACUGCUAAUAUGUAAUACAUUAAGAUUGAUUAAAAUUAAAUAAAGUUAUCGAUUAAUGUGUAUUGAAUAAUAAUAAAUAUAAUUACUGCCUUCCUAUUUUUCCCUUUUCCUCUAUUUUCUUUCAAGUUCCUUCCUCCAUAAUUAUAUAUUGAAUGUAAUAUAUUGAAAAUAGUUUUUUCGUAUUAGUUGAAGUAGAAGUCUUAUAUGUGUAUUAUCGCUAAAUGGCCAAAAACAAGUUUAAAUAAGACCAAUAGCUAAAUCAGAACUUUUUAAAAUUGAAUAUAUGCAUAAAAAUUAUUUACAUCCUCAAUUUUGAUAUAAAAUGCAUGCACCCACCCAAACUAUACCGUGAAUAGUACCUACAAGAACAAUCUAACACCUUUCUCACUUUUCUUUUCUCAAAAUAUAGAUAAAACACGGACAUAGCCAGUGGUAUUGUGCUAUGUAGAGGAGAUAUGGAGCUAAAAAAUAUCGUAGUUUGUGUCCAUAACAUUUCUCAAAAGCUUGUACAGUUAAUUAUGUCAAGACCAAAAGGAAAUUUAUGAUGGCUGAUUAAUGUACGUUACAGUACUCCAAUAAUCAAAUUCAUCAUAGACACUAUAUCUUUUUCUACUCUCUUUUACUGGCGAAUAGUUGGAAUGCCUCAAAACUUCAUGAAUUUAACCAGGAGUUAAGAAAGUUAUUCAAUAAUUUAAGAAAUGUUGCGGCAAAUGGUGGUUACCUUAGAUGAUCGUAUUCUAAGAGGCAAUAGCAAGUCUAUUGCAGAAAUUGUUGGUGUGUUAAAAUAUGACUGUUAUGGAGAUUUUAUAUAUGUGUGUGUGUUUUACUGCAUAAUUUUUCUAAAAGUCAUUUAAACACGAUUUGACAUAAUUAUUUUUGUGAUUAUUUUUAGUGUCAGCUGUAUACAUGUGUUUGCAUAGUGUUGGAAUUUAUGUUGUAUACAUGUUAUGUUAUUGUACAAAAUGCAAGCUUUGAUUUGAAUUUCUUAAUGGAGGAGCAGAAAUUUUAUAUCCCAAAAUAUAAAAAAUUAGAAGGGUCUUGCUACAUUUCUACAUAAACCCAGGGCUUGUUAAUAAGUUGAAUAAUAAUUAUUGUAAUUUGUUACAAAUAGUUGUUUUAUACUACUUUUAAAAAAUUAUUAUUUAAUUAUUUUUUAUAGUAUUUAGAAUUUAAAAUUAAGAAAUCCUAAAUAUAUUAUUAUAAAAAAAUAUUUUAGAAAUUAAAGAUUCCUAAAAUAUAUGGUAAGAGAAAAAUCUAUUAUAAAAAUUAAUGAGUCCUAUAAUAUAUGGCAAGAGAAAAUGUAUCCCAAGAAAUAUUCGGAAAGUUAAUAAUUAAGAAGUCUCAAAAUACAUGGCAUGAGAAGAAUAUGUUAUAUUUUAUUAAAUAUAAUUUUACUGACAUGAGACACACUUGCAAAGCACGUAUACUGAACUAGUUUGUUCAGAAACUUUUAAUGAGAAGAAAACUAUAACGAUCUAAAAAUUUGAUAAAAUACGUAAAAUUUGUGUUUUUAUGUGAUUUGACUGUUUUACCCCUAUUCAUAAUUGUAUUAUAAUAUUUUUGUGGUGUGGGAGUGAUUGACAUGGUUCCCGGUGCAUUUUGGUAUCAUUUAUGCAAUAUUGUAGUUUUUGAUGGCUUCAAGAGCCUUAUUUUGGACUUAUAUGGAUAUCUUUUGAUCCGUGCGAUGGAUGGCCAAACGGAUUGCGCCAGCAGCUUCGGAAUAUUGAUUUUAGGUUAGGUAGACCUUUGGUUUGGGUCUCGGUGCUUCUGAGCUCAUUUCGACCUAUUGGUCGGAAAGUUAAAAAUAUGAGUGUGGGAUGCACAUUUGAUCGAAACAACCUCGAAUGAAAAAUUCGACUUUCCCAACAGAUCCGUAAUGUUGAUUUUAGGGUAUUAGCAUGUUUGAUAUGAUUUUACAGCUUUUAAAUCUCAUUUUGAUCCUCGGUUUGAAAAAUUGCAAUUUCGAAUUUUGGGGGUUAACUUUUUGAAAGUGAUAUUUUUCGAAAAUCCAACUUUGCAAACGCGUCAGAAACAUCAAAUUUAGUGUGGUUGCAUAGUUCGUUUACAUAUAUUAUACUCCGAACUAAUUUUGGGUACCCCGUCGAAGUCCAGAUUGACUUAAAAAACAGUUUUUUAGCUAUAUCUGUUCAGAAAAAUCUGCAAUAAUAAAUAGCAGUGUCGAGCCUAUUUUUGCUCAUUUUUCAUCUUGCCUCUUGAGAGUUAAACCCUAAAAUAAUGUGGGAGCUUAAAAGUGAAGCUUGUGGGAGCUUGGGAGGUUAGAUUAACAUAUAUUUCUUGGUUUUAUUACGGAUUUAAGGUAAGAAUUCACCCUUUUCUUAGUAAUUUCUAGAUUAAUUUUUCAAGACCCAAAAAUCUUGUGGCUUGAUUUUAAACUUCAAUUUCACUCCUUUUCACUUGAAUAAUGUUUUUAUCUUAUAAUUACUAGUUUUUCAUCAUUUUAACCUUCCAAAAACUCUGAUUCUUGAUUUUAACCCGGAUUUCAAAGAUCUUACCCUGUAAAACUUAAAAAUGGGUUUUCUUUGAUUUAAACCUCGUUUUUUUACUCAAUUUGACUUGUUUUUUUUCAUAUAUAGGUUCCUAAAAAUAUGAGGAACACAUUUUUAAAGUAAACUUUUGAUUUUUUCCUUCAUUUUCGAAAACUCAUUUCGGAGAUUCGUUUUGACCUCGAACCAAAAGUAGUCACUAUGAGUGUCGUUGAUUUUAUUUUGACGUGUAGAUUUUAUAUUUGGAGUUUGGGAUCAUUCGUGGAAAGUAAGGUUGUGGGUUCGAAGUGUAGCGGAUCGGUUUUGACUUUUGAGGUAAGUUAUAGCUUAACUCUUUCAGACUGGGUUGGAUAGUAAAUGAUGGUACAAAAUGCAUGUUAAGGGUGGGAACUAAUCAUGAAAAAUGACUAUCUAUGUGUUGUGUCCGUGUGGGGGCCUAUAUGUGAUGUAAUUAUCAAAAUUGAGAUAUAUGUGAUGUGUGUGAUUAUGUGGAGUCCUAUGUGAUGUUGAUAGCCCUAAAUACAUAUGGAUAAUUGUACUAUAUUAUUGAAAUUCCUAAUAUGAUACCAUUGGUGUAUUGUGAUAGAUUCAUACUUAUUGGUAUAUGAGACAUGUGGAAAUUCAUGAAUGAAAUGAAAAUAAUGAAUGGAUAUUGACUCACAUGGUUGUGGAAAUAUAUCAUUGUGGUUGGUUGUGGAACUAUACCAUGUAGUUGGUUGUGUAAAUACUCUUUGUGAUUGGUUCUGAGCAUUACAUCCUCAUAUCAUACUCAUUCAUGAAAUGUUGGUACCACCGUGGCAACACCUGAGUAACACUGGCAACACCUUUUUGAAACCCUCCUCGAGGGAUAUGUCGGGGAGGAGAUAUUGUAACAUCUUAUAAAACUCUUUUCGAGGAAUGUGACGGAAAAGAGAUAUGAGAUAUGUGGAUUAUAUAUGGGUUGACGAACCUCCAUUGGGUCUUACAUCGGGAAGCUUUAGCUCCGUAGGUGUAUAUAGGAAUUGUGCGAAAAUCUCAUAGGAUGUGCGACGACCUCGUGCAUCAUCAUCAUCAUCAUCAUUAUAUAUAUAUUGCACUUACUUUAUUGUGUUUAAGUUGUGUUGCACUGACAUACUGACUUGUCAUCUAUGUAUUUGUUUUACCUUCCUAUACUUGUAUUUGAUGAUCUUGUAUCUACAUGUUCUCCCUUAUUCUACUUAUAUAUGACAUAAUGUAUACUUGUGUUUUAUAUCUUGGUGUAUUGUUGUAAUAUAUGUGAUAUAUUAAAACUGUUAGUGCAAGCGGUGUGGGCUAUCAUUGUGGGAUAUUUUUUGAUUGUAGGUGAUGUGCCCUUAGCGUAUAUUUUGUAUGCUUUAUUUUAUAAUUUGCUCGGUCGGCCUAUGAUACCUACUGAGUACAAGUGGAUCAUACUUACUUCCACUUCACCCUUUUUGUGCAACUUUAGGCUUGGGUGCGCCUCAGAUUGGUUGAGUUCGGGCACCUUUAGAUUUCUCAAGGUAGCGAUUGGACAUUCAUACGUAUGGAGUUCACCUUUAUAUUUCUAUAUUAAUUAUGUUUUUACUAAUGUUCGGAGACAGAUAUUUUCAUUUAUGGUAAUUGUUCUGAUAUAUUUGAUACUGGAAUUGUAUUAGUAGUUCUUAUACUGUUGACACCAGUUUUUGGGAGUUAUAGCUACAUAUGUUAUUUUAUUAUUUUUGCUUUUAUUAUAUCAUCGUGGUUUGGCUUCGUUCUAAAAUCCUUACCUUGGGGUCUUUCUAUCUUUGUCCCAUUUGUGUAUCAAUUUGGGUAAUAGGCUUACUUGUUAAGGUUCGUCGCCAAAAGUGCCAUCAUAACCCUUAUUUUUUGGGUUGUGACAAAUUAAUAUCAGAGCAGUCAGAUUUCAUUGGUCUCAGCGGUGUAAGAACGAGAUGUCUAAUAGAGUCUCAUGGAUUGGUACGUAGAUGUCGUAUCUAUCUUCGAGAGGCUAUAGAAUGUCUUUAGGAAACUUUUCUUAUUUUUAUUCCUUACCGUGAGAAGUUCUUUCAUAUUUUGUGUUUUGAGUUAUGUUUCACUCAUUCUACGCAGAUGGAGUUGACUACGUCCCGUGAGAGUAGUGAUGUAGAGCCUUCACCUAGAGGGCAAGCCUUAAGUCAUGAUGACCCUGUGGUGCAGCUCCGUCUAGGAGGAAUGCGAGGGGACUCUCCCCUGAGCCUCAUGUUGAACGGGUUGGAGGUAUAGGUCCUACUCCAUUUCUUCAGAGUUUAUCUACCCCAGUAUUGGAGGGAUUGUUGAUACAUUUGUUGACCCGUUUAGAGGGUUCUCCCAUAGUAAUGUUGGGUGUUCCUCUAGUUCAGAGUGUUUCCUUCUGUUGCACAUGCUUAUGGUUUGGGUACACUUCAGACCCCUAGUCCUAUUCGACCUUCAGUGCCGAUACCUGACUAUGGGGUUAUGAGAUCAAGAGUCCAGCCAUCAUCUUUGUUACCUCCCCAGAUAGGAUCACAACCUGCUAGAUUUACUAUAUCUUAUCUCAUGGCUAGUGUAGUGAUGUCUUCUAAAGAUUAGAAGAGGUUCGAGAGGUUUACUCAGUUGGGUCCUCCCAUAUUGGUAGCGUAGCGGGCGAGGAUGCCUACAAGUUUCUGAUUAAUUAUCGAAAAGUUGCACAAUUUGGGUUUACUCGAAUCUCAUGGAGUUACUUAUACCUCUUAUCAGUUAAGAGAUGCAACGAGAGAUUGGUAAAGGUCGCCUGUCAGUUGUAGACCCCGUGAUUCUCUCGAGAUGACUUGGGAUCAGUUCACCGAGGCUUCCCUAGAGAGAUUUCUAUCUUUCAGCUUGAGAUAUCAUAUGCGGAACAAGUUUAAUCAUUUGGAGCAGGGCUCCAUGACAGUUUCUGAGUAUGAGGAACGCUUACAUGCCUUGUCCAGAUAUUUCUAUGAUAGCAUUUUCAUCGAGUCUGAGAAGAUUCAAAAGUUUGUGAAGGGUUUGGAUGUCUCCCUUCAGUUGGCUAUGUCUCAAAUGGUUAUGUUUGGGGAUUCUUUUAGAGUAUUAUGGAUCAUACUAUGAUGAUAGGGGGUAUUCUUAGUGCAUCUCAAGAAGGCACCAAGAAGCCGAGAUAUUUUGGUGAGUUCAGGAGUCAGACCUCUCGAGGUAGACAUUUUAGAGGUUUUCAUGGAUACCAUAGUAAGCUAGUAUAGGAGGAUUUACAGAGCUCUGAUGGUGGACCUUCUAGUUCAUCAGUUCAGGGUGGUCGUUCGAGCUUAGUUGUACCUUUUUCUGUUGAGACUGGUCAUAGAGGUUGCUAUAUGUAUGAUGAGAUUGGCCAUGUAGCCAAAGACUAUAUCUAUCAUGAGGUUCAAGCUACUCUUAUUCCAACUAUGGUAGAGGUGAUACCAAAGGUGCGAAGGGCAGAGCUAGUAGAGCUCGAGGGGUGUUCAUGUAUCCACUCAAGUAAUUGGUGGUCGUGGGGUUCAUCAAGCAGUUGUGGUCGUUGUCACUGUUAUUCUAUACCAGCCAUGCCUAAGGAAGAGGCUUUUGAUGCAAUGAUUACAAGUAUCGUCCCCAUUUGUUUCAAACCUACAUCUAUAUUAUUUGAUCCUGAAUUAACUUUAUCCUAUAUGUCUGUAUAUUUUGCUUCAGGUUUUGAUUUUGUUAGUAAGCCUCUUGCUAUUCGUGUAUCUACCCCAGUAGGUAAUUCUUUAGUGGUGGAUCGGGCGUAUCGAUCUUAUGUUGUGACUUUUGCCGCCUUUAUUAGAUAUGAUAUAUUUUGAUAUUAUUUUGGGUAUGGAUUGGUUGGCUCUCUAUCAUGUCGUCCUAAAUUGUUAUGCCAAGACCGUCACCGUAGCAUCGCUGGGUGUGCCAAGGAUAGCUUGGAAGGGUGCAGUUCAUUUGAGUCCUAGAAGAAUUAUAUCUUAUGUUUAGGCUCUCAAAUUCAUUAAAAGGGGAUGUUUAUCUUACUUGAACCAUAUUUGUGACACCACUGUUGUUUUAUCUUCUUUCUUAGAUUCUGUCUGCAUUGUUCAUGAGUUUAUGUACGUGUUCUCUAUGGACUUGCCUGGUAUGACUUUGGAUCGAGAUAUUGAUUUCGCUAUUGAUGUUGAGCUGGGACCAAGCCCAUCUCUAUUUUUUCUUAUUGGACGGCCGAAUCAGAGUUAAAAAAAAUUAAAGGAUCAAUUUCAGGAGUUGUUGGAUAAAGGAUUUAUCCGACUUAGUGUUUUGCCUUGGGGUGCACUAGUCUUGUUUGUGAAGAAAAAGGAUGGGUCUAUGUGGAUUUGUAGUGAUUAUCAGCAGUUGAAUAAGGUGACAGUUAAGAAUAAGUAUCCUUUUUCUCUUAUUGAUGAUUUAUUUGAUCAGCUUCAGGGUGCUGUGGUGUUUUUGAAGAUUUAUUUAAGGUUCGGUUAUCACUAGUUGAGGAUUAGAGCUUUGGAUAUUCCGAAGACAACUUUUCAAACUUGAUAUGGUCAUUGUGAUUUUUUGGUCAUGUCCUUUGGGUUGACUAAUGCCCCUGAUGCGUUCAUGGAGUUAAUGAAUCGGGUGUUUCAACUAUAUCUCGACUCCUUUGUUAUUAUGUUUAUAGAUGAUAUCUUAGUUUAAUCCAAGAGUGAGGUUGAGCAUGAAAAACAUUUGCAGAUUGUGCUUCAGAGAUUGAGGGGUGAGGAGUUGUAUGUUAAGUUCCCUAAGUGUGAGUUUUGGUUGGAGUCUGUGUCUUUCUUGGGUCAUGUGGUGACUAAGGAAGGUAUCAUGGUUGAUCCAGCCAAGGUUGCAGUAGUUCCCGAUUGGGCUAGACCUACUUCGCCCACCGAGAUUCGGAGUUUUGAUGGAUUGGUCGGGUAUUAUCGGCGUUUUAUCGAGGGUUUCUCUUUGAUUGUAGCUCCUUUGACUAAGUUGACUCAGAAUAAGAUUUUCUUCCAGUAGUCUGAUGCUUAUGAGGCGAGCUUUCAAAGGUUCAAGGAUUUGUUAACUUCAGCUCUUAUAUUGGCUUUGCCCUAGGAGGGCGUGGGCUUUACCGUAUUUUGUGAUGCUUCUGGUGUUGGAUUGGGUGUUGUGUUGAUGCUGGAAGGCAAGGUGAUUGCGUAUGCAUCUCGUCAGUUGAAGCCACUUGAGAGGAAUUAUCCUAUCUAUGAUUUGGAGUUAUGCGCAGUUGUGUUUGCCUUGUAGUUAUGGAGGCACUACUUAUAUGGAGUCCGUUGUGAGAUCUUCUCAGAUCAUCAUAGCCUUCAGUACUAUUUUACUCAGCGAGAUCUUAAUAUGAGACAGAGCCAUUGGCUUGAGUUGCUUAAGGAUUAUAACUUGAUUAUUCUUUAUCUUUCGGGCAAGGCUAAUGUGGUUGCGGAUGCCUUGAACCAAAAGUCGACUAGCAUGGGUAGUUUGGUGCAUAUUUUGACAUAAGAUGGGCCUUUGGCUUUAGAGGUUCAGUCUUUAUCUAACCAGAUAGUUAGGCUUGAUAUUUCAACACCUGGGCAUGUUUUUGCAUUUGUGGAUGCUAGAUAUUCUUUGAUGGAACAGAUUCGAGUUCAUCAGUUUGAUGAUGUUGGAUUAAGGUCGAUUUGAGAUAAGGUAUUGGGUGGGAAUGCUAAGGAAUCCUUACUUGACUCAGAUUGAAUUUUGUGGAUUAGAGGUCGAGUUUGUAUGCCGAGAGUGGCUGACUGGAUUAGAUUGAUCUUGAAGGAGGCCCAUUGUUCCAGAUAUUCCAUCUAUCCAAGUGUGACUAGGAUGUAUCGUGAUUUGAGACAACAAUGCUGGUGGGGUGGUAUAAGGAGAGAUAUAGCAGAUUUUAUGGCUCAUUAACUUUGUUAUCAGUAGGUGAAAGUCGAGCAUAUAAGAUGUGGUGGUUUGCUUCAGAGGUUACCCGUUCUUGAGUGAAAGUGGGAACACAUCACCAUAGACUUUGUGACUGGUUUGCCUCGUACAUCUCAUGGUUCUGACAGUGUUGGGUUAUCAUGGAUCGAUUGACCAAGUCAUCUCAUUUUAUUCUGAUUCAGGUCUCAUUUUGUGUAAGAGGUUGGCCCAUAUCUACAUUUGUAAGAUUGUGUGUCUUCAUGGUGUGUCGAUGUCCGUUAUUUCAGAUCAAGGUCCCAUGUUCACAUCUCACUUUUGGAAGACUUUUCAAGAUGAUUUGGGUACUUGGGUUGAUCUUAGCACAGUAUUUCACCUCUAGACUGAUGGAAAAUUAGAGCGGAAUAUUCAGGUUUUGAAGGAUAUGCUUCGCGCAUGCAUGAUGGGUUUUGGUGGCCAAUGGGAGCAGCAUUUGGCUUUAGCAGAGUUUGUAUAUAAUAAUAGCUACCAUUCCAAUAUUGAUAUGACUUCUUUUGAAGCAUUGUAUAGUAGACGUUGUUGAUCCCAAGUGGGUUGGUUUGAUGUUUCAGAGGUGAGACCUCAUGGUAUGGACUUGCUUCGUAGGUCUUUGGAUAGAGUCCGGGUCAUUCCGGAUAGACUUAGAGUGGCUCAGAGUAGGCAGAAGUGUUAUGCUGAUCGUAGACUUCGUACCUUGAGAUUUGGUGUUAGUGAUCAUGUUUGCCUUAGAGUUUCACCCAUCAAGGGUGUCAUGAGGUUUGGGAAGAGGGGCAAGCUUAGCCCCAGGUAUAUUGGUCUAUUUGAGAUUCUUUGGACUGUUGGUGAUGCGGCUUAUGAGUUGGCUUUUCCCCCUGAUCCACCAGCUGUUUAUCUAGUUUUUCAUAUUUUUAUUCUUUGUUGUUACAUUCUGGAUAAGUUUCAUAUUAUUCGUUGGGAGUCGGUUUAGUUAGAUGAGCGGUUGUCCUUUGUUGAGGAGCUAGUCUCCAUUUUGGCUAGGAAUGUUAGGCGGUUGUGCUCUAGAGUGAUCCCUGUGGUUAAGGUCUAAUGGCGACAUCGACCUAUAGAUGAGACUACUUUGGAGGUCGAGUCUGAUAUGCAUAGUUCUUAUCCUCAACUCUUCAUUGAUUCAGGUAUUUCUUUGUCUUAGUUCGAUGAUGAACUACAUUGUUAGUGGUUGAUGAUGUAACUACCUAAAAAUUUGAUAAAAUAUGUAAAAUUUGUAAUUUUAUGUAAUUUGAUUGUUUUACCCCUCCUCAUAGUUGCAUUAUAAUAUUUUUGUGGUGUGGGGUGAUUGGCAUGGUUCUCGAUGCAUUUUGGUACCAUUUAUGUGAUAUUGUAGUUUUGAUGGCUUUGAGAGCCUUAUUUUGGACUUAUAUAGAUAUCUUUUGAUUCGUACGAUGGAUGGCCGAAUAGAGUGCGCCAGCAGCUCCGGAAUAUCGAUUUCAAGCUAGGUAGACAUUUGGUUUGGGUCCUGGUGCACCCGAGCUCAUUUCGACCUAUUGGUCAAAAAGUUAAAAAAUUAGAAAUAUGGGUGUGGGAUCCACAUUUGAUCGAAACGACCUCGGAUGAAAAAUCUGACUUUGCCAACAGAUUCGAAAUGUUGAUUUUAGGGUGUUAGAAUAUUUGGUAUGAUUUUAUGGCUUUUAAAUCUCAUUUUGAUUCUCGAUUUAGAAAAUUGCAAUUUCGGGUUUCGGGAGUCCACUUUUUUAAAAUGAUGUUUUUUUGAAAAUCCGAAUUCGUCAGCGCAUCGAGAACGUCGAAUUUAGUGUGGUUGUAUAGUUUGUUUUCAUAUAUCGAACUCCAAAUGAAUUUUGGGAACCCCGACGAAGUUCGAAUUGACUUUAAAAAAACAGCUUGUCAGCUAUAUCUGUGCAGAAAAAUCUGCAAUAACAGAUAGCAGUUUCGGGCCUAUUUUUGCUCAUUUUUCAUCCUGCCUCUUGAGAUUUAAACCCUAAAAUAGUGUGGUAGCUUAAAAGUGAAGCUCUUGGGAGCUUGGGAAGCUAGAUUAACAUAUAUUUCUUAGCUUUAUUACAGAUUUAACGUAAGAAUUCAUCCUUUUCUUAGUAAUUUCUUGAUUAAUUUCUCAAAAUCCAAAAAUCUUAAGGCUUGAUUUUAAAUCUCAAUUUCACUACUUUACACUUGAAUAAUAUUUUUUAAUCUUAUAAUUACUAUUUUUUUAUCAAUUAACAUUCAAAAUAACUCUGAUUCUUGAUUUUAAUCCGGAUUUCAAAGAUUUUACUGGGUAAAGCUCAAAAAUGGUUUUCCUUCGAUUUGAACCUAGUUUUUUUACUCGAUUUGACUUGGAUUUUAAUCUUUAGGUUCCUAAAAAUAUGGAGAGCAUAUUUUUAAAGUAAAAUUUCGAUUUUGCUUUUCUUUUUCGGAAAACCAUUCCGGGAUCCAUUUUAAACCUGAACCAAAAGUAGUCAAUAUGGGUGUCAUUAUUUUUAUUUUGAUGUGUAGAUUUAAUAUUAGAUAUUUUUAGUGGAGUUUGAGAUCAUUUGUGGAAAGUAAGAUCGUGGACUCGAAGUGUAGCAGACUGAUUUCAGCUUUUGAGGUAGGUUAUGGCUUAACUCUUUCAGACUGGGAUGAAUAGUGAAUGAUGGUACAAAAUGCAUGUUAAGGGUGAGAACUAAUCAUGAAAAAUGAUUAUCUACGUGUUGUGCCCGUGUGGGGGCCUAUAUGUGAUGUAAUUGUCGAAAUUGAUAUAUUAUGUGAUGUAUGUGACUGUGUGGAGUCCUAUGUGAUGUUGAUAGCCCUAAAUACAUGUGAAUAAUUGUACUGUAUUGUUGAAAUGCAUAAGAUGGAACCAUUGGUGUACUGUGACAUAUUCAUACUUAUUGGUAUAUGAGACAUGUGGAAAUUCAUGGAUGAAAUGAAAAUAAUGAGUGGAUAUUGACUCACAUGGUUGUGGAAACGUAUCAUUGUGGUUAGUUGUGGAACUAUAUAAUGUGGUUGGUUGUAGAAAUAAUAUUUGUGGUUGGUUGUGAGCAUUACAUCCUCAUAUCAUACUCAUUCAUUAAACAUUGGUACCAAUUGGUAACACCUGAGUAACACUGCAACACCUUUUUGCCGAGGAGUAGAUACUGUAACACCUUAUUAAACCCCUUUCGAAGAAUAUACUGGAAGGGAGAUAUGAUAUAUAUGGAUUGUAUACGGGUUGAUGAACCCUCCAUGGAUCCUAUGUCGGGAAGCUUUAGCUCCGUAGGUGUAUACAGGGUUUGUGCAGUGAUCCCAAAGGUUGUCCAAUGAUCUCGUGCAUCAUCAUCAUCAUCAUCAUCAUCAUCAUCAUAUACAUUGCACUUACUUUAUUGUGUUUAUGUUGUGUUGUAUGGCCAUAUUGACUUGUUAUCUUUGUAUUUGUCUUACCUUCCUUUUCUUGUAUUCGAUGAUUUUGUAUCUACAUGUUCUCCCUUGGUCUACUUAUAUGUGACAUAAUGUAUACUUAUGUUCUGUAUCUUGGUGUGUUGUUGUAAUAUAUGUGAUAUAUUAGAACUGUUAGAGCACGCGGUGUGGGCUAUCAUUGCGAGAUAUUUUUCUGAUUGCAGGUGAUGUGUCCUCAGUGUGUAUUUUGUAUGCUUUAUUGUCUACUUUGCUCGGUCGGCCUAUGAUACCUACUAAGUACAAAUGGAUCAUACACACCCCUACUUCUCCCUUUCUAUGCAACUUUAGGCUCGGGUGCGCCUCAGAUUGGUUGAUUUCUGGUACCUUCAAAUUUCUUAAGGUAGCGGUUGAACAUUCAUACGUCUGCAGUUCACCUCUAUCUUUCUAUACUAGUUAUGUCUUUAUUAGUGUUUGGAGAUAGAUAUUUUCUUUUUUGGUUAGUUUUCUGAUGUAUUUGACUCUGGAAUUAUAUUAGUAGUUUUUAUACUGUUGACACUAGGUUUUGAUAGUUAUGGUUUCAUGUGUUAUUUUACUCUUUCCGCUUUUAUUAUAUCAUAAUGGUUCGACGUCAUUCUAAAAGCCUUAUCUUGGGGGUAUUUCUAUCUUUUUUUCCUUUGUGUAUCAGUUUAGGUGGUUGUUUUAUGGAAAUUUUGACUUUUUAGAGUCGCCACUUAAUUUAUUUGAAAAGGAAUUAACAAAACCUUUAUAAAGUACUUAAACGAUCCAAAACAGAAAAAUCAUUUAAAUUUGAAGAUUCUGAGUAAGCAGUUCCUAUUGAUACAAUUGGAAGGUUGUUAAGGCACCAAGAGUAUCCACUAACUUACGGUUAUCCAGACUAUUUGAAAAUAUCUUUUGACUAACUUCAAAAAAAUUCAUUGUUGAAAAGUGAUUAAUUUUAGAAAAAGACUUGUAUAAAAUAGUUUUGGACGACUUAGUAGGGAUUUUAACUAAGUCUAAACAAACUAAUAACAAAGCAUGUAAAAUGGAAGGGGGCGAAAAUAAAAGACUUAGGCCGUUGGGCCCAAAUCAAUAGACCAUGUCCUAAUCUAAUUGGACUUUUGGUCCACUUGCACCUGUCCUAAUCUAAACGUUGGGCCUAGGCCCGUAACUUGUCCUAAACUAAUUUUUCAGGCCUGUUGGCCCAAAAGCUGCUCCACCGGUAUUAAUUUAUAAUUUUGGCUUUGAGGACCCGAAUAAAUGAAUAAGUAAAUGCUUAAAUGAAUAAAUAAAAAGAAAACAAUAAUAAAAAUUAAGACUUUUCAAGUCUCUUAGUGACCUCAUCAAUGAAUUUUGACCCAUUUUCCUUCUUCGUCUAUCUUCUAGCACCCGAACGCCAUAUAGUCGACCUUGGGUUUAAUCUUCGAACUUGACUUGAAGAGGUGAGCCUCAUUGGCCCAUUACGAAAUGUAAGAGGAGAUGAGUCAAUUUGAACUAGAGACAUUUUUUGCAUGCAAAGAAAAGAUAAAGAAGUUAAUAUACGUUCAAGGCAUAAAAGUGACAUAUUUCAAAGCAAAAGAAACUAUCAAGGACCAAUUUUUGAAGGACAAUGAUAAGCGCACUUGCACAAGAAUGAGAGUCAACAAAUAAAAUGCAAAGCAAAGACACCCACUUACAUGCCUCAUGAUUUAUUUUCUUAUAAGAAUGAAUAAAGGUAAAAGGAAGAAAAUCGUAUUCAAAAAAUUAAUGCGAGAACAAACGACGCAAGUUUGCGAGAGUAAAGGGAUGAGGCGAUAAGAAAAUACUCAUGACUUCUAAAAUUGAACAAACAUAGAAACUAAUUCAUAUAACAAAAGAAAAUAAAGGCUAACUUCUAAAGAAAGUGAAUCUUUAAAUUUCUAUUAAGGAGAAAUUAACGAAGAUUCAUACAUCUAAGUCAUGGCAACUUUAGGGAAAACAUGUAACGACCUAUGAUUUAUCGUUCUAAGACAUCGUUGAUUCUCUUUUGAUAUUAUGACUCAAAGAGAGACAUGAAUCAAGUCUUUACACACACAAAGAACACAUAUAACAAUUCAAAGGGAGUAAGAAAAUUAGAAUAAAAGUUUAGCAUCUCUAAAAGUGAAAUAUCGUUCAACAAUCAUACUAUGCAUGACUCGAGAAUAUCUAAAUAAUUUUAUUUAGCCAUAAAAAUUCUAACUUUCUCAUCAUUUUGACAAAUUAACAACAUGCAAAAAAAAAGAAAAAGAAAAGAAAUAAACAUCUUGGAUGGAAAAUAAAGCUAGUACUCAUCACUUAUAUGAGGAUUUUGAAAUCCAUUAAAAUAAUUAGCAAGCAAAUGACAAAUUCUUGACUUAAUCAAUUACUAUUUUUAUUAAGGCGAAACAAACAAUAGUAACGAUUUUUCCAACAUAAAAGAAACAACUUUACAUGCUAAUAACAAGCAUAUCCACUAAUAAUGAAUUUAAACAUGGCUUGAAUACGUCUUUUGAGCAGAGAUCAAAACUUUAUACAUAACAAUCAAAGAAUAAAGUCAAAAGGUAAAACAAUUAAUAUUAACUAUUCUUUUCAACAUAAAGAAAAUAACUUUACAUGCUAAAAACAAACAUAUCUACCAACAAUGAGUUUAAACAAGACAUGGGUAUGUUUUCAGGCAAAGGUCUAAACUUUAUCCAAAAUAAUCAAAGAUUAAGAUCAAAAGGCAAAAUAAUCAAUAUUAACUAUUUUUUUCAACAUCAAGAAAAUAACUUUAGAUGCUAAAAACAAACAUAUCUACCAACAAUGAGUUUAAACAAGACAUGAGUAUGUUUUUCUAGCAAAGAUCUAAACUUUAUCCAAAAUAAUCAAAGAAGGUCAAAAGGCAAAACAAUCAAUAUUAACUAUUAUUUUCAGCAUAAAUAAAAUAACUUUACAUGCUAAAAAUAAAAAUAUCCACCAACAAUGAGUUUAAACAAAGCAUAAGUACAUCUCUUAAGCAAAGAUUGAAACUUUAUCUAUAAUAAUCAAAGAAUAAAGUAAAAAAAAGGCACGUACAACUAUUGCUAGCUUAUUUUUAUAUCUUGAACAUGAAAAUAAUUAAAAUAUCGAUACCACAAAGUCAUAUGGCCUUCAAGGCCAUCUACAACAGACAACUCCAGCAAAUAAAUUAUAAUUACGAAUUACGAAGAAGAAAAAGAUGAUGUAGAAAAUCAUAAUAAAACUAAAACAAAAAGAAAAUAUUUGUUUACCUUUUUUGGGACAGCAAAACGAGACUACGAGCUUCGUCGGAAUAAACCACCACCGAAAAACAUCGCCGGCAACUCAAAAAUUAUGAUUAGCCGACCAACUCUAUGAAACAAAAAUUUUUACUAAAUGAAAAUAACUAUGUUGCUCAAAUUUUUUUUUUAUACCUUUCUAGCCCUUUUUUUUUUAACUUUUCCACCAUCCUUUCUACCAAAGUAGUGAUAGUACUUAUAGGAGAGAAUGAAGUUUUAUUUUAUUUUCUCCAUCAAUGUGGGAGAAAAGUAUUUAUAGGAAAGGAUGAAGAUUUAUUCCUUGUCAUCCACCAAUGUAGGAGAAAAGCCAUUUAAGGGUACUUUUGGAAUUUAAAAAUUGAAGAUAAGGUGAGGUGAAAGAUAAUAUGGGAGGAAAUUGUACAAUGUAGUAUAAUUUUUGAAUUUUAAAAUUGGGAAAGGACAAAGUUGGGGAAAAAUAGUACAAUGUAGUACAAUUUAAAAUUAUUUUUUGGUGGGAAUUGGAUAGAAGUUAUGUGAGUUUUGGGAAAUUUUGGGGUUAUUUAAACUAUAACCCCAAUUAAAAUUUAAAAUUUAGCCAUAUUCAUUUAAUUUUGACCAAAUUAAAAAUCAAUUGACGGAUUGCAUUGCAAUUAUGACCAAUUUGAUUUCAAUUAUGGUCAAAUCUAAUAGAUUGACUAAAUUAAAUUGAAAUUCGAUACGAAUUAAUAGUUCUUUUAAUCCCGAGCUUCUUGAUCUAAUAAAAUCAAACACAUAUUCAUCCAAAUAAAUUAUUUUUGAGAAUAAAUUAUAUUUAAAUUAAUAUUUUAAUUCUUUAAAUUUAUUUCAAGACAAACCUUGAUUAAAAUCCGAUAUUUUAUAAAAAUGGAUAUUUAAGUAAAAAAUUAUUUAAUUUCGUAUAAUUGAAUAUGUUAAUAUAUAAUCGCUAUUAAAAUGACAAACUUACCUAGAUAAAUAUUUUGAAAAGCUUUUUAUCCGGAUAAAAUAAAUAUUUUAAUUUUAUUUAAAAAAUCAAAGAAACUUGUAAUCAAACUUAGUUAUGGAGGGCAAAAAUUAGGUGUCAACAACUGCCCCCUCCUUUUGGGUAGGGUGAAUGCAAGUAACCCUGGGCAAAGGGAGGUUGAUGUUCCUAAUUUUUGUCCGACCAAUAAAUUCGAAUUUGAAAAAGUUUGGUUUCGCACGAGUUUCAGAGUUAUGGCUAGACCUCGGUAUCAAGUUUCCCAUAUAUAUCAGGUUACAUGAGAAUUCAGGCUAUUUGUAGUUCAUAAAGCUUGAUUUAAAGCACAGUUUUUAAAAGUUCACAAGCUAUGUUGGUUUUAGAUUUGUUUAUGAAACCAAAAAGCUAAAGAAUAAAGGGAUUUGGGGGGAGGUUGGAAUGCAGUCGAAUUUUCUAUAUAGAUCCAAUCCUACAUAUCCCCAAGAUUUCAGAAAAUCAGAUUGCUUGUAGUUCGACUCAAUCGGUAUAAAAAAUGGUCUUUUAUUUCAGACGAUUUUUGGCUCUAGAUGAGUGAAAAGUUGAUUGAGUUGCAGAAAAGAGGCUUGAAACCUCUUAACCAUGAAUGUGGAGUACUUCACAUCCAUAGGUAAGAAUUUAACUGGACAUAAUUUCUAAAACUCUAGGUGUGUUGUCACUCGAAUUUGAAAGAAGAGAAGAUUACCUUCCAGUAUGAGUUUAUAAAUAUCCCAAAGGUAAAGCUGAAAUAAAAAUAUCCCAAAGUACCCACAUGCCUUCUAACAGGGGUAUGGUUUGAUUGGUAGUGGCGAUGAUCCUUCAGCUCGCGUCCAAAGAGUUUUACGUUCCUCUCUAGAUUAUGUCCCAUUUUGCUGCUAGGAAAGAGUUCCACGUUUUGCUGCGUCCUAUCUAGAGUCGUCCGCACCUGUGGUUCUGAUUUGAGAUUUUCAUCCUCUUGGAUGCUCCCGACAAUGUUUCAAGCAAAAGUGUCUGUACUAAACAUAAUUCAUGAAAGAGGUAUGUUGUCUUUUACCAUAUAUCCACGUGGGUUGUCGCCUGAAAAAAGAAGUCAUCCUUUCGUGUACCUGUUUGGAAGGAAAUAACUUGCAAAACAAGACACAACAAACCUCUUGGUUGUUGCAUAAUUAUCUUAUUUGUUGGUUGAAUAUGUCUUUAAAGUAGGGUGGCCCUCUCGAACACCGAUAAUACUUUAUGCAGAAUGGUCCCUGCAAUCGUGUAAUCUUACGUUGAUGUAGAAACCCUUUUGGUCACUUAUAAUGAUGGUUGUAUGUGGAAUGAUAACCUCUCCGAUUUCAGACAACGAUUCCUUACAUAUGACAUCAGGUAAGUCUUGCGCAUCUUUUGUAUCUAUACGACUAAUAGAUUCUCCUUAAAUUAUCAAUCUUUACAUAAUCUCGUGCAUUAUUUGAUGUUGGAUACGAGGCAACUUAUAGAUAUCUUUUGAAUUGCUAGCUUCUAGGUGAUCCUGGACAUUAUCUGACCUUGGAUAAUAGAUGGCUUAUAGAUAUCCCUCCAAUCGCUAGCCCUCAGGUAUUCCUGUACAUCAUCCGACCUUGGAUACAAUAGACUUAUAGAUAUCUCUAAAAUUACUAGUCAUUGGGUAAACCUACACAUAAUCGAUCUUGGAUAUGAUGCAGCUUAUAGAGAACCCUUGGACGUAUCAAUUUGAUAAUCUUGCAUAUUCUCCAGUAAGGAUUUAGUUGUGACUUAUGGAUGACCUUUAAACUAUCGAUCUUAGGGUAACCUUGCACACUAUCCAUUUAGGAUGUCGUUGUAGCUUACGGAUGACCUAUGGACUAUCAACUAAUAGGAAAUCUUGCACACUAUCCUAUUUCAAAUAACAUGACUUAUAGAUGACCCUAGGAUUGUCAAUUUCUACGAAGUCUCAUAUGUCGUUAGCUUUCAGAUAGCGACUUAAAGACGUCCCUUUGAAUCAUAUAUUUUUGAUUCAUUCAGAUGUUGAUUCAUAAAAUAAUGAGAUAUCCUCGAUGCCAGCAUAUGCUAUCUCGCAUGUCAAUAGAUAUUAGAUACCGAUGAUAUCCUCGACGCCAGCGUACGCUAUCUCGCGUGUCAACAGAUAUUAACUAUUGGUGAUAUCCUCGACGCUAGUGUAUGCUAUCUCGCGUGUCAAUAGAUAUUAAAUUUUGAUGAUAUCCUCGACGCCAGCCUAUGCUAUCUCACGUGUCAACAGAUAUUAAAUAUUGAUGAUACCCUCGACGCCAGCAUAUACUAUCUCACGUGUCAACAGAUAUUAAAUGUUGUUGAUAUCCUCGAUGCCAGCGUAUGCUAUCUCGCGUGUCAAUGGAUAUUAAAUAUUACUGAUAUCUUUGACCAACGUAUGCUAUCUUGCGUGUCAUCAUAUAUUUAAUGCGGGUGAUAUCCUCGGCGCCAACGUAUUCUAUCUCGUGUGUCAUCAGAUAUUUAAUGCUGAUGAUAUAAUCGAUGUCGGCGUAUGCUAUCUCCGUGUCAUUAGAUAUUUAAUGUGGAUGAUAUCCUCGAUCCCAGCGUAUGCUAUCUCACGUGUCAUCAGAUAUUUAAUGGAGAUGAUAUCCUCAACGCCAGCGUAUACUAUCUCGUGUGUCAUCAGAUAUUUAAUGCGGAUAAUAUUGUCGACGCCAGUAUAUGCCAUCUUGUGUGUCAACAGAUAUUAAAUAUUUAUGAUAUCCUCGACGCCAGCGUAUGCUAUCUCACGUGUCAACAGAUAUAAAAUCUUGCUGAUAUCCUCGACGCCGGUGUAUGCUAUCUCAUGUGUCAAUAGAUAUUAAAUGCUGAUGAUAUCCUUGAUGCCAGCGUAUGCUAUCUCGCGUGUCAUCAGAUAUUAAAUGUUAUGGCCCUCUUGGCGAUGAAAAUGAUAUGCAAUGGACCUCUUGGCAAUGGAAUGAGAUGAAAUAGCCCUCUAGGUAAUGAAGAUGAUUUUGCCUGAAUCCGUUUGUCUACUUUUUUGCUUGAUAGAUGUACUUGUACUCAAGGUAGAUAGUUUGUAGACACAAUGUCGCUUUUGCUUGCGACUAUUUUUAGAACAAUUCUAAAUACAAUAUUUAUAAAGAAGAUAAGGCGUCUUUGUUUGUCCUUCAUGGUCUCAAGAAAUGAAAUAGACAAUUCAAAAGGUCUUUGAUAAAUGCGUAUUAACCCGUCUUUAGGGCUACCCGAAAAUACCAUUCUUGAGCAUUAUAUUUUCUGGUAUGGCUCCCAACUUACCCGGGGAUUUUUCAAAAAAGUCUCUCAUUUUUGUGUAUUGAUCCCUGCAUCCACAGAAAAAUAAUUAGUUUUGAGUGAAACUACUCCAUGUUGACCUCCUUCGCUCCUCAGUUUGAUCCUCACCAUCUUUCAGGUGCUCCAUCAUGUUGGUACCUCCACCCUGACUCCCUGUUCCAAUAGACGCUUAGGCAAUCACUAAGUAAAAGAUUUGUAUAGAUUUUUAAAAGUAGUCUUAAUUUUAGAAAAUAGUUUCGAAAGUUUCUGUAAAAGCUUUUAAAAAUAUCUGCCAGUCAUGUCAUGUACUGGCUCAAUGAACGUCUUUCUCUUAGUUUUGACUAUAUCCAAUGGAGGAUUUUCAAAAUUCAUCAUCAUUGUAGGAGGUUUCUUUAAACAGUUCUAUCAUAGUUGGAGAUUGAGUCUACCUAGACUUUGUCGCAGCUGGUGACUUCAAAAGUUUGACUUUGACCUCUGGUGCUGGGGAGUUUAAAAUAUAUUCCAGUGUUUGGUGGAAAUUUUGAGGCCUUCCUCAAAAUUUUCUCCCCCAUUUUAAAGCUUUUUGAUAUGAUAUCAACUCGAGAGGAUCUGAAGUCGUUGUUGGUCUUCGUUAUCUUUGUUAGAUGAUGAUCUUCCUCUUGUGAAUUUUUGAGAUUCCUUCUCGAAAAUUCUGCCCCAGUUUUCAUUUUCUGGGGUUACAUAACUGAGCCAUUGGGGCGCCUACGUAUCCUGUUGAAGCAGGAAUCAGGUCAAACGUAGUUUAGGACUACACUAAGGAUAUAUAGAAAAAUAUAAUAGGUUGAACGAAGCCGACAUAGGCCGAUUAUAUAUCCCUUUUUUGGGAAUUCAGGUCAUCACGUAGUUCAUACAUGAAAGAAAAGGGUAAAUUUUCCUAAAGGAUUGACCGAAGCCGACAUAGGCCGCCUACGUAUCCCUUUCUUGGGAAUUUAGGUCAAAUGUAGUUCGUACAUGAGGAAAGGGAUUCUAGGCAAUUACACAUCAUAAAACAAAUACUAUCAUAAAGACUAUUACAAAUAAGCCCGGGAAAUAAAAACUAAAACAUCUUUUAAACAUAGUAUCUCUUUACAGCAUCAGAAUUGAUUGGUUUGAUCUAAUCUUGACCAUCCAUCUCAGGUAGGAUUAGGGCUCCUCUAGGUUGGGCUUCUUUUGGUUUUCAAAUUCCUUAUAUCUUUCACUAACUUCUCCUCAUCACCUUUUUUUCGUUCAUUAUCAUUCUCUUCGCUUUGUUCGUCUAACCCUUUUCAUGACAUGACAUUGACAAAUUUUUAAAUUAUUGCUACCAAAAUAAACCAUGUUAGAUGAUGAAAAGAUAAUACUCCCUCCGUUUAAAAAGGAAUGACCUACUUUUCUUUUUAGUCUGUUUAAAAAAGAAUGACCCCUUUCCUUUUUUGGCAAUACUUUAAUUUCUACUUUUCACAUGGUAUAUUUAGGAUCACAAAAUUAAAGAAAAUUUUUAUACAUUUGACACAGCUUUAAUUUAAGGCUACAAGAUUCAAAAGUCUUCUUUAUUUUCUUAAACUUUGUGCCAAGUCAAAGUUGGUCAUUCUUUUUUAAACGGAGGGAGUAAAAGAUAAUGAUAUAAUCAUAUUUCAAAAUAACUUCUUAAAUAAAAGGAGGUCUUUUCAUUGAAAUUUAGGAAAUAAGUACGAACUAUGGCUCAUGACCCGCAUAAAUACGGCCCCAUGCCUUUUUGAAAGCAGCAAAACACGAAAAGGAAGUUUGAGACAUAAAAGGGUGGAUCACGGGGCCUCCUUCGGAUCAUCACCAAUUUUUUAUAACUACUAGUAAUUGCCUUUUCAUCUACCAUGACGGGCGACGGGUUAUGAGUAGAGUGGAGGUCCAGUUUUGUAAAGUCUCUCCUGGUGCAACCUUUCUCACCCCAUCAGACUUUGGUAAAUCAUUGUAUCCCUCAAAUGGAUUUCUUAUCCCAUCCCUAAGACCAUCAUCUUUUAACAUCUCACGCAAAGGAAAUGACUGGUACAUGAGUGGCAAUGGUUUAGACAGACUCGUCUUUGACUUAUCUUUAAUCUCAUCUUUCUUUCUUGGUUGGUAUCCUAAUCCAUACUUAGAUGUUUUUUUUGGGACCAUAAUGGGCUCAAUAAUUCCUUCUAAAUUCUCACCCAAGAUACUUUAGAUAGCCACAGCUUUCUCUAUCCUUUCUACUCCUUUUGUCUUUUUGGAAUUUUACGAAUCCACCUUAGUAAUAAUCUUGCUUGAUACCCAUUCAUCUGCUAUUUCGAUCAUGCUAAUCGUGGCUCCCCCAUUAUUAGGCAUUGGAUUACUAGUGACAUUUGGUGUCGGUGCCUGAAGAGUGAUGAUCUUCUAAUCAAUCAAGUCUUGGAUCUUGUGUUUUAAAUUGAUGCAAUUUUCAGUAUUAUGCCCGGUUGCUCCUGAAUGAUAAGCACAGACUUGAUCGGCCUGCAAGAAUUAGGAAUUGAUAUUAGUAGGCUUUGGUAGAAUAGGCUAUAAAUAACCAGCUUUCAUCAAUCUUUCAAAGAUUUUGGUACGACUUUCAGCCAAUAGAGUAAAUUUUCUAGGAGGCCUCUUUUCGAGGUUUACAUGUGGAGGGUUAUACUGAUUUUGAUUAGAGGGAUGAGGUACUUGAUAAUAGUUAAGAGGCGCUUGGUUGAUUAUUUGGUUGUUUGGAAGAGUGGCUUGAACAUGAGACUGAUAAUUUGGCUGCGGACCUUGGCACUAGGGUAAAAUAUUUAGAAGUGGAGUUUGAUACUGGGGUUGGGCAUAGAAUACAAGCUGAAAACUUGGUGACGGUGGUGAGGAAAGAAUAUUCGUAGGCUUGAAUUUCUUCUUCAACUUAGCAAUAGAAUCAGUAGAGACCGCACCUACAUCUUUCUUUUUCUUCUUUGGGAACAUAAAAGUCCCAGACGGUGUUGGGGUUUUGACAAACUUUCCUGUUCGAAUGCCUUCCUCUAGCGAUCCCCCGAUUUUUACUAAAUCUACAAAAAAUUCCUUAAUCGUGGAUACCAUCCUAGUGUAAAAUUCUCCCUCCUGAGCAUGAGAGAAAAUUGAUACCAUUUUCUCCUCAGACAUGGGAGGUUGUACUUUGGCAGCUUCCUUCCUCCAACAAAAAGCAUAGUCUCGAAAACACUCACCAUUCUUCUGCUUAAUCCGGUCUAGUGAGUAUCGGUGAGGAACUAUCUCAACGUUAAAUGCAAAUCUAUCGAGAAAACUUUUAGCCAACGCCUUCCAACUAGACCAUCUUUUCAGUUCUUGAUAUGUGAAUCACUAUAAGGCUUCGCCCUUAAGCUUCAGAUGAAUAAAUGCAUUAAUAAUGUCUCAUUUCUUCCUACCCUAAUCAUUUGAUCACAAUACUUUCUCAGAUGGGCCAUUGGAUUUUUGGUACCGUCGAACACCUUAAAUUUAGGAACCUUGUACCCUUCUGGUAGAUCUACUUCGGGGUGCACACACAGAUUAUCAUACCCCAAGGUAUCCUUAUUACCUGCCCUGUGAGAUUCCUUGAUCCUCAUGAUCUCUUCAUUCAUGGCUAGCAACUUUUUUUCAUGCUCGGUCCUCCACUUUAUUUCUUUUUUCUCGUAAUGGUCUACCUAGGGAUUGGGAAUGGGAUUGUAGAUGUCAGGGGAUACGAUGAAUUAAUAAGGAUUUAGAACGAUAGCUUGAUUUUGAGAAUGAAAGGAGGUUGGGUGGUAGGAAGGGAGGAAGUUUAGGAAAUUGAUAGCGUUUUGUGGAAUUUAAGAAGAGUUUAGUGGAAUCUGAGAUAGAGUGGAUUUAGAACCGAGUUUUGUAACUUUUGAGAUGGAUUUUAUUGAUUUGAGAGUGUAUUUUAUGGAUUUGGAGAUGAAUUUUGUGGGGUUAGGGAUGGAUUUCGGGGAUGGUGAGCAUCUAGGUUAUUUUAUCAUUUGGUGUUUUGGACAAGUUGAGGAACAGAGAUGGAUGAUAUAUUAUUUGGAGGGUCCUCGAGAACAGGUGUACUGAUGGGGGAUUUGGAGUGAAGUCCCAUGUCCUCCUGGAGUGGGAGCGUUGAAAGUGAUGUCCAAGCUAGCCAAAUCUCGAGUAUGAUUCAUCUCCUUCUAAAGCAUUUCUAAUUUUCCCGCAAGUUCAUCAAUCAUCUCGCUUUGUUUCGCUAUUACAUUGUCUCUGAUGAUCUACAUAUUCUCUUUGUCGCUUCCAGUCAUAUUUGAAUGAUGGUCAGAGGAUGGGAUUUUAUGAACUUUUGACCGGGUGAAGUAAUGAUGUUCUGCCAGUUUAUUUUAACACGGAGCAGUGUUUCAUUAUCUGUAAAGAAAAAUAACUCAAAGAAAGAUGUAUUAGUUCCCAUAUGUGAUAAAUAAUACAAGAUAUUUGACAAAAAGUAACCACAUAGAGUUAUUUUCCUCAUAGGCAAACUGAUCUACGAGAGCAUAGUGGAUAAAUUUGUCUUUGAUGCACAUAAACACAUAAGGCAGUUAUAUCACAUAAUAAACACAUAUCCUAGUUGGGUGACCCUUUUAAGCCAAGGGUUGGCCUAACGCAUUUGAAAGAAGUAUAUGCUUUUUAAACCAAUCCAUUAUCCCUCAAAAAUCUUCAUAGGUGUACAUAAGUGGCAUAAAUGCCUACAAAAGUUGCACAGAAAGGGAUACAAUCUAUAGGGAAAGGGGAAAAACAACAUGAGAAAAAGAAUAAUGUCCUGCGCAAGGGAUAGGAAAUAUUAAUUCCUGAAUUGGUAUAUGAUUGAGGCAUCCUUACAUGAAAGCAAGCAAAGCAGGCCUUCUUCUGACCCCCAAAGGAUAAUGGAUUAGAUUAAACAAACAUAUAUUUCUUCAACACAUAAAUAUGAUUCUUCAGUAAUUGACUCGGGGUCAAUAGACACAAGGCAAGUUUUAUAAUGGGCCCAUUACACCCUUCGAAUAUUGGUUCGUCGUAGACUUAUGCCUAAAAGAGUUUUGGUUUAGCUCUAUCCUGGGUGUCCAGAGUAUGGACACAGGUUUUCAAGCGGACAACUUGAGUUUGGAAACACGAAUGGCCUUUGACCGCCUAACAUGCCAAUAAACUGUCUUAUUUCCAAUAUUCAAUUUGGAGUUGAACAAUAGGGGAUAGGAUAUCCUCGUAAUGCCAAAAUAAUUUAAUAAUCAAUGCAGGACCAUGCUAUGAAAUGCAAUAAUUAGAUCCCACAAAAUCGAAACACAUAAAUAUGUAAGCAAUUUAAACAGUUUAGUCAAAAGAUGAGAUCAAACAUUUGGUUAGAACCUAGUUCAAAUCCCCAACAGAGUCGUCAUUUCUGUUUUGCGAAAAUUUUGACUUUUUAGAGUCGCCACUUAAUUUAUUUGAAAAGGAAUUAACAAAACCUUUAUAAAGUACUUAAACAAUCCAAAAAAGAAAAAUCAUUUAAAUUUGAAGAUUCUGAGUAAGCGAUUCCUAUUGAUACUCUUGAAAGGUUGUUAAGGCACCAUGAGUAUCCGCUAACUUGCGGUUAUUCGGAUUGUUUGAAAAUAUCUUUUUACUAACUUCAAAAAGAUUGAUUGUUGAAAAGUGAUUGAUUUUAGGAAAAGACUUGUAUAAAAUAGUUUUGAACGACUUAGUAGGGAUUUUAACUAAGUCUAAACAAACUAAUAACAAAGCAUGUAAAAGGAGAGAGAGAGAGAAAUAAAAUCCCAAAUCAAUAGACCCUGCCCUAAUUUAAUUGAGAUUUUGGCCCACUUUCACCUGUUCUAAUCUAAAUGUUGGGCCUUGGCCCGUAACCCGUCUUAAACUAAUUUUUCAGGCUUGUUGGCCCAAAAUCUGCUCCACCUGUAUUAAUUUAUAAUUUUGGCUUUGAGGCCCCGAAUAAAUGAAUAAGUAAAUGAUUAAAUGAAUAAACAAAAAGAAGACAAUAAUAAAAAUUAAGACUUUUCAAGUCUCUUAGUGACCUCAUCAAUGAAUUUUGACCCAUUUUCCUUCUUCGUCUAUCUUCUAGCACCCGCAUGCCAUAUAGUUGAUCGUGGGUUUAAUCUUCAAACUUGACUCGAAGAGGUGGGCCUCAUUGGCCCAUUAUGAAAUGCAAGAGGAGAGGAGUCCAUUUGGACUCGAGACAUUUUUUGCAUGCAAAGAAAAUAUAAAGAAAUUAAUAUACGUUCAAGGCAUAAAAGUGACAUAUUUCAAAGAAAAAGAAACUAUCAAGAACCAUUUUUUUGAAUGACAAUGAUAAGCACACUUACACAAGAAUGAGAGUCAACAAAUAAAAUGCAAAACAAAGACACCCACUUACAUGCCUCAUGAUUUAUGUUCAUAUAAUAAUGAAUAAAGGUAAAAGAAAGAAGACCAAAUUCAAUGAAUUAAUGCGAGAACAAACAACGCAAGUUUGCGAGAGUAAAGGGAUGAGGCGAUAAGAAAAAUACCCCUGACUUCUAAAAUUGAACAAACAUAGAAACUAAUUCAUAUAACAAAAGAAAAUAAAGGCUAACUUAUCAAGAAAGUGAAUCUUUAAAUUUCAAUUGAGGAGAAAUCAACGAAGAUUUAUACAUCUAAGUCAUGGCCAACUUUAGGGAAAACAUGUAAUGACCUAUGAUUUAUCGUUCUAAGACAUCGUUGAUUCUCUUUUGACAUUAUAACUCAAAGAGAGACAUGAAUCAAGUCUUUACACACAUAAAGAACAAGUAUAACAAUCCAAAGGGAGUAAAAAAUUUAGAAUAAAAGUUUAGCAUCUCUAAAAAUGAAAUAUCAUUCAACAAUCAUACUUUACAUGACUCGAGAAUAUCUAAAUAAUUCUAUUUAGCCAAAAAAUUCAAAAUUUCUCAUCAUUUUGACAAAUUAACAACAUGCGAAAAAAGAAAAAAAAGGAAUAAACAUCUUGGAUGGAAAGUAAAGCUAGUACUCAUCUCUUAUAUAAUGAUUUUAAAAUCCAUUAAAAUAAUUAGCAGACAAAUGACAAAUUCUUGACUUAAUCAAUUAUUAUUUUUAUUAAGGUGAAACAAACAAUACUAACUAUUUUUCCAACAUAAAAGAAACAACUUUACAUGCUAAUAACAACAUAUCUACUAAUAAUGAAUUUAAACAUGACAUGAAUACGUCUUUUGAGCAAAGAUCAAAACUUUAUACAUAACAAUCAAAGAAUAAAGUCAAAAGGUAAAACAAUCAAUAUUAACUAUUCUUUUCAACAUAAAGAAAAUAACUUUACAUGCUAAAAACAAAAAUAUCUACCAACAAUGAAUUUAAACAAGACAAUGGUAUGUUUUCAAGUAAAGAUCUAAACUUUAUCCAAAAUAAUCAAAGAAUAAGGUCAAAAGGCAAAACAACAAUAAUAACUAUUUUUUUCAACAUCAAGAAAAUAACUUUAGAUGCUAAAAACAAACAUAUAUACCAACAAUGAGUUUAAACAAAAUAUGAGUAUAUUUUUCAAGCAAAGAUCUAAAUUUUAUCCAAAAUAAUCAAAGAAUAAGGUCAAAAGGCAAAACAAUCAAUAUUAACUAUUUUUUUCAACAUAAAGAAAAUAACUUUACAUGCUAAAAAUAAACAUAUCCACUAACAAUGAGUUAAACAAAGCAUAAGUACAUCUUUUAAGCAAAAAUUGAAAUUUUAUGUAUAAUAAUCAAAGAAUAAAGUCCAAAGAGGCACGUACAACUAUUGCUAGCUCAUUUUUAUAUCAUGAACAUGAAAAUAAUUAAAAUAUCGAUACAACAAUGUCAUAUUGCCUUCAAGGCCAUCUACAGCAGACAAUCCCAGCAAACAAAAUUAUAACUACGAACUACGAAGAAGAAAAAGAUGAAGAAGAAAACCAUAAUAAAACUAAGAAAAAAAAAGGAAAGUUGUGUUUACUUUUUUGGGGGCAGCAAAAUCAGACUACAAGCUUCGUCGAAAUAACGACCACGAAAAAUUCGCCGGCAACUCAAAAAUUUUGAUUAGUCGACCAACUCUAUAAAACAAAAAUUUUUACUAAAUAAAAAUAAAUAUUUUGCUCAAAAGUAUUUUUUUCUACCUUUCUAGCCUCUUUUUUUGUACUUUUCUACCACCCUUUCUACCAUAGUAGUGGUAGUAUUUAUAGGAGAGAAUGAGGUUUUAUUUUCUUUUCUCCACCAAUGUGGGAGAAAAAUAUUUAUAGGAAAGGAUGAGAAUUUAUUUCUUGUCAUCCACCAAUGUGGGAGAAAAGUCAUUUAUUUCUUAAACCUUGUUCCUACAUGACCUGAUCAAUUCGAUCAGGCACUCGCCAUCUAUUUUCAUUGUUCAAAUCUUUGACAACAUGAAAAAACCAAACGCUCUACCCCCCUCUCUAUCUAUCCAAGGGAUGGAAGGGCAGAGGCCUUUGGUGUCCCCUCCAGUCAAGAAUUGGGGCCUCACAAUCACUAGCCAAUAUGCUUUUCUCUCAUGCCUUUCUUAGUUCAUGGUUCGAUAUCUGGUGUCCUAGGCGUAGAGGAACCACACCAAUCCAUCCCGAACUUGGUGGUUAAACUCUACUGCAGUGAUGAUACUGUAGGGGAGGUCCUACGGAUGUUUAUGGAAUUCAAAAAUUAAAGAUAAGGUGAGGUGAAAAAUAAUGUGGAGGAAAAUUCUACAAUGUAGUACAAUUUUUGAAUUUCAAAAUUGGGAAAGGACAAAGUUGGGGGGAAAUAGUACAAUGUAGUACAAUUUAAAAUUAUUUUUUUGGUGGAAGUUGGUAGAACUUAUGAGAAUUUUUGGGAAUUUUGGGGUUGUUUAAAAUAUAACCCCAAUUGAAAAUUUUAAUUUAGCCAUAUUCAUUUAAUUUUGACCAAAUUAAAAAUUAAUUGACGGAUUGCAUUGCAAUUAUGGCCAAUUUGAUUUCAACUAUGGUCAAAUCUAUUAGAUUGACUAAAUUAAAUUAAAAUUCGAUAUGAAUUAAUAGUUCUUUUAAUCUUGAGCUUCUUGAUUUAAUAAAAUCAAACACAUAUUUAUCCGAAUAAAUUAUUUUUUAGAAUAAAUUAUAUUUAAAUCAAGAUUUUAAUCCUUUAAAUUUAUUUCAAGACAAACCUUGAUUAAAAUAUGGUAUUUUAUAAAAAUAGAUAUUUAAGUAGCAAAAUUAUGUAAUUUCGUAUAAUUGAAUACGAUAAUAUAUAAUUGCUACUUAAAAUAACAAACUUACCCAGAUAAAUAUUUAAAAAAAAAAAUUAUUCGGAUAAAAUAAAUGUUGUAAUUUUAUUAAAAAAAUCGAAGAAACUUGGAAUUAAACUUAGUUAUGGAGGACAAAAAUUAGGUGUCAACAGUGAUAGGCUUACUUUUCAAGGUUCGCCGCGACAAGUGCCAUCACGACCCUUGUUUUUUAUGAGUCGUGACAAAUUUGUAUUAGGGCAGCCAGGUUUCAUUGGUCUCAAUGGUGUAAGAUGUCUAAUAGAGUCUCAUGGAUUGAUACGUAGACGGCUGUAUCUAUCUUUGAGAGGCUAUAGGAUGUCUUUAUAAAACUUACCUUAUUUUUAUUUCUCAUCAUGCGAAGUUCUUUCAUAUCUUAUGUUCUGAGUUAUGUUUCACUCUUUUUGCACAGAUGGUGUUGACUAGGUCCUACGAGAGUAGUGAUGCAGGGCCUUCACCCAGAGGGCGAGCCUCAAGUCGUGGACAGACUCAAGGAAGAGAACGGCCCCGUGGUGCAGCCCCAUCUAGGAAAAGUGCUAGGGGACUCUUCCCUGGGCCUCGUAUUGAGUAGGUCGGAGGUGUGGGUCCUACUCCAAUUUUUCAUAAUUUGUCUUCCCCAGUGUUGGAGGGAUGGUUGGUAAGUUUGUUGACCCUUUUAGAGAGUUCUUCCUUGGUUAUGUUGGGUAUUCCUCCAGUUCGGAGUGUGGAUCCUCUUGUUGCACUUGCUUCUGGUUUGGGUACUCCUUAGACCCCGAGUCCUAUUCCACCUUCUGUACUGAUAUCUGACUAUGGGGUUUCGAGAUCAGAAAUCCAACCGUCAUCUUUGCUACUACUCCAUAUGGGAUCACAGCCUGCUAUAUUUAUUAUGUCUUCUCUCAUGGCUAGAGCAGAGAUGUCUUCUAAGGAUCAAAAGAGGUUUGAGAGGUUUUCUCGAUUGGGUCCUCCCAAAUUUGGUGGCACAGUGGGCAAGGAUGCCUUUGAGUUUUUGAUUGAUUGCUGAGAAAAGUUGCACAAUUUGGGUUUACUCAAGUUUCAUAGAGUUACUUAGACCUCUUAUCAGUUGAGAGAUGCAGAGAAAAAUUAGUGGGGGUCGCUUGUCAGUUUUAGACCCCGUGAUUCUCCCAAGAUGACUUUGGAUUAGGUCACUGAGGAUUUCCUAGAUAGAUUUUUGCCUUUCAAUUUAGAGAUUGUAUGCGGGACGAGUUUGAUCAUUUGAAAAAGGGAUCCUUGAUAGUUGUUGAGUAUGAGGCAUAUUUCUAUGCCUUAUCCAAAUAUUUCUAUGAUAGCAUUUUCACCGAGUCUAAGAAGAUUCAAAAAGUUUGUGAAGGUUUUGGAUGUCUCCCUUCAGUUGGUUACUCUUAGGUAGCUAUGUUUAGGGAUUCUUUCAGAGUAUUAUAGAUCAUCCUAAGAUAACAGAGGAUAUUAUUAGUGCAUCUCAGGGAGGCACCAAAGAGGCACGAUAUUUUGGUGAGUUUAGGAAUCAGACCUCUCGAGGCAGAGAUUUAGAGAUUUUUAUGGAUACCAUGGUAGGCCAGUCCAGGCGCCUUUAUAAAGCUCAAGUGGUGGACCUUUUAGUUAAGCAGUUAAGGGUGGUCGUUCGAGCUCAGUUGUAUUUUUUUUAUUGAGACUGGUCAUAGAAGUUUCUAUGUGUGUGAUGAGAUUUGCAAUGUGGACACGGAUUUUCCCCUCCGAGUAGUUUGGGCUAUUCCAACUGUGAGGGGCAGGAGUGCUACCAAAGGUGCAAGGGGCAUACGUAGUGGAGCUCGAAGGAGUGUUUAUGGAGACACUAAGGUAGUUGGUGGUCGUGGGGUCACCGCGGUAGUCGAAGUUACUGUUAUGUUAUACCAGCCAGGCCUGAGGAAGAGGCUUCUUAUGCUAUGAUUAUAGGUAUCAUCCUCGUGUGUUUCAGACUUGCAUCUGUAUUAUUUGAUCCUGAAUUGACUUUUUUCUAUGUGUCUGUGUAUUUUUCUUUGAUUUUUGAUUCUGUAAGUAAGCCUCUUACUAUGCUUAUUCGUGUAUCAAUCCCGGUAGGUGUUUCUUUAGUAGUGGAUCGAACGCAUCGAUCUAUGUUGUGACUUUUGUAGGGCGUGAGACUUUGGUAGAUCUUCUUGUAUUAGAUAUGGUUGAAUGUUAUUUUGGGUAUGGAUUGGUUGGCUCCCUAUCAGGCCAUCCUAUAUUGUUAUGCCAAGACCAUGACUUUAGCUUCGCCGAUUAUUCCAAGGAUAGCUUGGAAAGGUGCACUUCAUUCGGGUUCUAGGAGUAUUAUAUCUUAUGUUCACGCUCAUAAAUUAGUUGAGAGGGGAUUUUUAUCUUACUCGGCCCAUAUUUGUGACACCAGUGUUGUUUUGCCUCCUUCCUUAGAUUCUAUUUGUAUUGUUCGUAAGUUUAGGGAUGUGUUCCCUACGGACUUAUCAGGUAUGCCUCCAGAUCGAGAUAUUGAUUUCACUAUUGAUGUUGAGCCAGGCACCAAGCCCAUCUCUAUUUCUCCUUAUAUAAUGGCCCCCAGCAGAGUUAAAGGAAUUGAAGGAUCAAUUACAUGAGUUUUUGGAUAAAUGAUUUAUCCGACCUAGUGUUUCGUCUUAGGGUGCGCCAUUCUUGUUUGUGAAAAAAAGAAAGGUCCUAUGUAGAUUUGUAUUGAUUAUCAACAAAUGAAUAAGGUGACGGUUAAGAAUAAGUAUCCUUUUCCUCGCAUUGAUGAUUUAUUUGAUCAGUUUCAGGGUGUAGCAGUGUUUUUAAAGAUCGAUUUGAGGUUCGGUUAUCACUAAUUAAGGAUUAGAGCUUCUGAUAUUCUGAAGAUAGCUUUUCAAACUCGAUAUGGCCAUUAUGAGUUUUUGGUUAUGUCCUUUGGAUUGACCAAUUCCCCUGUUGCAUUUAUGGAGUUGAUGACCCUAGUGUUUUGACCAUAUCUCGACUCUUUUGUUAUUGUGUUUAUAAAUGAUAUCUUAGUUUAUUCCAAGAGUGAGGUUGAGCAUGAGGAGUAUUUGCAGAUUUUUCUUCAGAGAUUGAGGGAUGAGAAGUUGUAUGUUAAGUUCUCUAAGAGCGAGUUUUCGUUGGAGUUUGUGUCUUUCUUAGGUCAUAUGGUGACUAAGAAAGGUAUUAUGAUUGAUCCAACCAAGGUUGCAGUAGUCACGAUUGGGCUAGACCUACUUCCUCCACCGAGAUUCAGAGUUUUAAUGGCUUGGCUAGGUAUUAUCGGCGUUUUAUUGAGGGUUUCACUUUUAUUGUAGCUCCCUUGACUAAGUUGACUCAAAAGAAGAUUUUUUUUUGUGGUUUGAUAUUUGUGAAAUAAACUUCGACUAGCAUGGUAGCUUGGCACAUCUUUUGACCCAAGAAAGGCCUUUGGACUUAAUGGUUCAAUCUUUAGCUAACCAGAUGGUUAGGCUUGAUAUUUCGACAACGGGGCAUGUUUUGGCAUUUGUGGAUGCUAGAUUUUCUUUGAUGAAGCAGAUUCGAGCUCAUCAGUUUGAUGAUAUUGGAUUGAGGUCGAUUUGAGAUAAGGUAUUGAGUGGGAGUCUAAGGAAGCCUCACUUGAUUCAGAUGGAAUUUUGUGGAAUGGAGGCCAAGUUUGUAUGACGAGAGUGUGUGACUAGAUUAAGUUGAUCUUGGAGGAGGCCCAUUGUUCCAGAUAUUCCAUCCAUCAAAGUAUGACUAAGAUGUAUUGUGAUUUAAGAAACCACUACUGGUGGGGUGGUAUGAGGUGAAAUAUAGAAGAUUUUGUGGCUCUUUGCCUAUGUUGUUAGCAGAUGGAGGCUAAGCAUAUGAGAUAUGGUGGUUUGCUUCAAAGGUUACCCAUUCCUGAGUGAAAGUAGGAACGCAUAACCUUGGACUUUGUGACUGGUUUGCCUCGUACUUCUCAUAGUUCUGACAAUGUUUGGUUCAUCGUGGAUCGAUUGACCAAGUCAGCUUAUUUUAUUCUGGUUUAGGUCUCAUUCAGUGCUGAUAGGUUAGCCCAUAUCUACAUUUAUGAUAUUGUGUGUCUUCAUGGUGUGUCAGUGUCCAUUAUUUCAGAUCAAGGUCUUAUAUUCACAUCUCACUUUUGGAAGACUUUUCAGGAUGAGUUGGGUACUUGAUUGAUCUUAGCACAGGGUUUCACCCCUAGAUUGAUUGCUAGUCAGAGCAAAUUAUUCAGGUUUUGGAGGAUAUGCUUCGUACAUGCGUGAUAGAUUUUGGUGGAUAGUGGGAGCAUGAUGGAUUAUUGCACUUUAUUUUGGUAUUGGAUUUUAUGGACUGCAUUGAUUGAAUUAGAUUUGCACUUGAUCUCGUGUCGACUUUUAAAAGUUAGAGUUUAGAAGUCCCUUGACAUUUUUUUCUUUUGCGAGUGAUGAUUGUCCGAGUGUCACCUUUCUUGCUAUUAGAGUAGCCUUUUGACGUGGACUUGCCUAUUAUUUUCUUUAAGGUUGGAACCUCAAUUGGGUCAAAGCUCUCACAUUGUAGCAUGACGAUUCCUUUAACUUUUGGUGACGACACAAAGCACAUGGGUUAUAGAGCUUUUGAAACUGAACCUUUUUUAUGAUCCAAUUUGGCGUUAACAUAAUUUGCAUCAACUAUAUUUUCAUUAUCAAUGAUGAUUUUCUCCCCCGCGUUAGUGUCGUGAUCUUUUUCUUUAAGAUGAAGUAUUUUUUGGUGUGAUGACUAACAAUACAGUGAAAUUUGCAGUACUUAGCAUUGUCGACUUUGUUAAAUUCUACAGGUCACUUUGACUUAGGGAGUUCAAUGACUUCUUUGGCUAGCAACUCAUCAAAAAUCUCAGAAAUAUCAGGGUCGGAAAAAGGAUAUACCUUUGCUUGUAACUCCUUCAAAGUUGGUCAAUUUUUCACUCCUCGUAAUUGUUGCUUUGGAGAUUUCUUAUUCAAUUUUUGUCUUAUGGAGGCCAUCAUAGAACUCAAAAUUAUUGUCGUAGAUUCCCAAAUUUGGUUUUUUGAUGAGUCCUUGAAUCUUAUGACUUCUUUUCUGGGAUCAAAGACAGGUGACCGCUUUCAUGACUUGCAAUGCUUAACUCCAUGUCAUGAGCACACAUAGCAAAUUCUUCAAAAGUUCAAGGCUUAGAUCCUUGAAGGAUAUAGACAAGGCCCCAAUCCAUUCCUUUGUGAUCCUUGCAAUUAAACUCAAUGUUCGCCAGCGAUUGAUGUAGUCUACUACAGGCUUAUCUUUACUUUGUCUUGUGUUUGUCAACUCCGUCAUGCUAAUCAUAUGACGGGUGCUGUAGAGAUGAUUUAAGAACUUACUUUCUAGUUGCUCCUAAUAAUCAAUUGAUUCAGAUUCCAAAUUUAUGUACCAAUGAAAGCCGUUGCCUUUCAAAAAGCAAACAAAUUGCUUGAUAAGAUCACUAUGUGUACCACACUACUACAAGUCCUAACGAAAUGAGCGAUGUUUUUCCUUGGAUUUUCAUUUCCAUCAAAUUGUUAAAACUUUGGUGGUUGAUAUUCAACUGAUAUCGGUAAGUCCUUGAUUCGCUUAGAAUAUGGCUUUGAGUAUCCUAUAAAACUUUAUGAUGGACUGCUAUAUUGCAUCUAGAUGGUGUUUGCAAUCAUAUCUUGCCGUUGUUGAACUAUUAAAGUAUCCAUUGAAGCAGAUCGAUUAGUGCAUUGAUUGUCAAUUGACUUGAUGAGAGAUUCACCAUAAAUUUUUUCCUUGAAGUGUUAGAUUAUAACUUGACUCUGCAGGGUUGUAGAGAUCUAACUUGCCCAUAAGUUGGGUGAUUUGAAGAUCUUUCUCAUUCACAGGCUUCUUCAAGGCUUUAAUGGUAUGUUCCAUCAUUGCCAACUGCAUCAACCAUGAAGGUAUUGACUUUCAUUAAAUUUAGAGAAUUCAUUGAGUCCUCAGAUUCUUCAAAGUUGAAAAUAGUUUCAGACAAGUCGUUUGAUAACAUAGGUGCAAGAUUGACUCCGGGGGUUGUAGUUACAACCGAAAUUUAAGAUUUUCUCCUUUUUGUUAUCUCUAAAAAGGUCAAGUUUUGAGAUCUAUCCAAAGCACAAGCGUUGAGCUUGCAUCGAUUAAUGGGGCCAGCAAGUUUGAUCUCUGUAGAUGUGACAGUAAUAGAUUUCUUGCACAAAACGUCAUUGAUUUUUUUGAAUCCUAUUGCGGCAGUUGAGUUUGUGAUUUUCCAAUUCACGUAAGGAAGAGAUAAAGAGCAGAGAUGGUCCCACCAGGCACACUAAAAUUUAUUCGCAAUAAAUUUUUGUGGUGCUGAAAAUUAACUCCAAGAAAAAAUAAAUAAAAUCAAAAUAAUUUAUUAAAUAAAUUUUGUGAGUACAAUUCUAUUGUUCUCUUGAUUCUUCCCUCCUUAGCUUUUUUGUGAUUCGAGGGUCUUACGUAACGUGUUUCUCGAAUAUAGGAUGAUUCAGACUUCCUUGAGAUGUGUUUGAUCUCCAGAGACGUCGUGCAACACUUCUUUGUUUUAGGUUGAUCUUGGGAAGAACUCUGUUGACUAUUCCUUUGAAGAGUUGUGCAAUUGAUGUUGCGACUUGCUCCAACGCUGGCAGCAUAACCUCAGAAAAAUUAUGUAACCCUCUUAUUUAUAGUUGUAAGGGGUAGACAAUUUAAUUGUAAAUAACCUCUUCUUCCUCAUUUUGAUUGGUCCAUCAAGUUAUCAAGCUUAUCACAAAUGGUGUGUGAUAAGGUUGCUUGUGAUUGGCCAAAAAUAUGUUAUUUGGUAUACUUGAUGAUGAUUCAUUGGUUGUUGAACUUGACUUGGCUUGCCACGCCAUUUAAAUAUUUGGUCUUGGCUUGUUGGUCUUUAAUUUGACUAGGAUGCUACGUCACUUGACUCGUGGUAUGAGUUUGGAUUUCAAGAUGGACCUUGAAUUUAAUUUAAUGAACUUAUUAACUUUGUACAGCUCAAACUAAUUUCAACCCAAACAAAUAUGAAUUCAAUCCAAAUUUUCUAUGAAUUUGAUCCAACAAAUUUUAUCUGUCUACAAGUACAUGCUACAAUUUAUUUAUUUAUAUUUAUUUAUAUUUAUAAUUAUAUUUAUAUUUAUAAUAUAUAAAAAAGGCCUAAAGCAGGCAGGAAGAGGUUGUCCUGCUAGUUUGCUUCCUCAGGGUUACAUUGGUCACUUCAAUUAGGGAUAUUAUAGACUUUUCAUAGUAUUUUUCUGUAUUGCAACUUGCAUGCCUUUCAAGCAUUCAUCCUAAAUCUUAACGUGACAAACACACACGAGAAUAUUUUUGUGUGUUUUCCAGCUCAUCUUCACAUAUCUAUCUCAAAGUUUGGGUAAAGCGAUUUACUCUUUGAAGGUUGUAAUUUUGAACAUUUGUGUGAGUUCUCUUUAAUAAUUGCUCUAUUAUACAAUUCCAUUGAUUAAUUUGGAGUUCUCUUCAUCUGUUUGAUAUUGUGUCUGCCUUCGAUUUUGUUAUUCAUAGUUUCUUCUUGCUGCAAUUUAUUUUUUUUGUUAUCUAGACAAUGAUGUUUCCUACUUCAAUGUGAAUUUCUCUUUGAUUAUUUAUCCAUUCUUUUACAGGCUUUAUCAAUUUCGUAGUUAUGUGUUCUAUUUGGUGAUAUCUCUACUUUUAGGUCUAAUGGUUUCAGAGAUGAACUUUAUUUCUUUGUGCGAUUAUGGCUUUAAAUUUGCUUUUUCAUUGAAAUUUUUUAUCGUAAACUUGAAUGAUGGUACUUAAAUUUUGUUUCUUUUCGGUGUGAUUUAGAGGACAUGAUUUUAUAGAUUUAUUUUGCAAAUUUGCUUGCUCUCUAUUUAUUUUAAUUUGUUUUCAUCCUACUUCUCCUCUGUUUACUGAUGACACCAUAGCAAUUACUGAAAGAUCCUAAACCUGGAAAGAGUUUCUAUUUUAGUCAUCGUGCAUUCAAGGUAAACUAUUUUUGGGGCGUGGAUAAAAAACCACGUCGACUACACCUUAUCCUUGGGUGUUGAUACUCAAGAUGUUUAGAAACCUACUACUGCAAAGGAUAAAGUUAUAAAUUACUAUGCAUUUGUUGUUACUCAUGAACUCAAGAUCUUUUGUGCUCUAUCAAAUACUUCCAGACUGAAGCCAAAUAAUGGAAUACCAAUGUCUUUGGUAAUAUCUUCCAUAAGCUUAAAAGACUCCUAGCCCGACUUAAUGACAUUCAUAAAUCCAAACACUGCCCUUAUAGAAAUUUUCUCCAUAACUUGGAAAAUGAGGUGCUAGAGAAGUACAACCUCACUCUUUAGUAUAAGCAGGAUUUCUGAAAAAAAACAAAUCCAAAAUCAACUGGCUCAGUGAGUGUAAUGCAAAAACUAAAUUUUUCCAUACAGCCACCCUCAACAAAAGGAGAAAAAACUAAAUCCUCUCCCUAAAAGAUGUUACUAGAAACCUCAUACAGGGAGAGGAAGAAAUUAUCAAUCACAUAGCCAACUUCCUUAACACUCUCUAUACCACUGAACACAGUAACUCCAAGUGGUACAAAACCCCAGUCUAGAAAUAACAUCACUUCCCUCUUUAAGGAGACUAAGAGCUUGUUGGCAACCCCCUAAGAGAUAGUAAAAUUACCAAAGCUCUUAGUAUUUUCCAUCCCAUGAAAGCCCCUGGACCAAAUGGGCUCCACCCUUUAUUCUUCAAAAAAUUAUUGGAAUUUUGUGGGUAAGAAGACCAUAAAAUAUUUUCACAAAGUCUCUAAAGACAAUUGCAUUCCUAAGGAGGCCAACACCACAUUUCUCUGUCUCAUUCCUAAAUGCCAUAAUGCCACAUCAAUUAGGAAUUUCAGACCUAUUAGGCUCUGUAACUUCUCCGACAAGCUCAUUACUAAAAUCAUACUCAGUAGGAUCGAACCUUACCUAGACCUUCUCAUUGGACCUAAUCAAGCUAGCUGCUUAGCCAACUAGAGGGCUGCAGACAAUGUAUCAGUUACUUUAGGAAAAUGAGAGGGAAGAAGGCCAACAUGAUCUUGAAAAUAGAUCUAGAAAAAUCCUUUCAUAGGCUUGAAUGGUCCUUCAUCCAUGCACCCUUCUCUACUUCAAUUUCCCCAAGAACCUCACUAACCUCAUCAUGUCAUGUGUGACCACUUCCUUUAUUUCCAUCCUCAUUAAUGGCAAACCAUCCCCCUUUUUUGAACCCACCAGAGGCAUAAAAUAGAGAGACCCCAUUUCACUUUACCUUUUCAUCCUGUAUAUGGAAAGACUCUCCAGGAUCAUCAAUGAAACUGUACUCUAAAAGACUUGGGACCCCAUCAAAAUCACUACCAGUGGGCCCAAAAUUUCUCACCUCUUGUUUGCUGAUGACCUCACCCUUUUUGCCCAAGCUGACCUCAAAAACUGCAGAACCAUCAUCUAGCCCCUUAAUUACAUUAGUAAUAUCUCAGGAUAAAGAAUCAACUAUGCUAAGUCUAAAGUCAUCUUCUCUAAAAAUUACAGCAACAGUCUAGCCCAUGAAUGCUCCAUCAUCCUCAACAUCAAGAGAGGAGAUACCUUUAAAAACUAUCUUGGCUUUUCCAUCCUGAAUCACAAGCCCAUCCGUGCUUUCUUCCAGUACAUCAUUAACAACAUGAAUAAUAAACUAGUAUGCUGGAAAACCCACAUGCUUAACAUGACAGACAAAACUAUUCUUGCUAAAUCCACCUUGAGCAGUAUGCCCAUUAAUGUCAUGCAAUACCUUAAGCUUCCCCCAAAAACUAUUGAGAUUAUUGAUAGAAUUCAAAGGAACUUCGUGGGGAAGUAAUGCUGGAAAAAAGAAACUUCACCUUGUAAGCUAGGACAUCAUUGCAAGAAGCAAAUUCGAAGGGGGUCUAGGACUUGAAGACUCUUCAAAAACCCAAACUCUCUUUGGGUAAAAGUCUUAAUUUCUAAAUACCAAAAACAAAGAAGAAACAGUAAUGGUAGGACUUGGGUCUUUAGAAAUUGGAAAAUUAUCAGGAUGGAAAGAUUGUGGUAGGGGGAUGGCUUGGUCCAUCCACAAGGGUAACAAAGACAAAUUCUUCUAUAACUCAUUGAUACCUCAUACCAACCCUAUUAGGCACCACAUCUAUAGCCCUCUAAGAUUGAGGGAAGAAAACAUCAAAGUUGAAUAGAUCACCACGGAAUAUGGGAUUUGUCAAAACUAUCCAUCCAGAUACUUGGAAACAUUGUGAAAUCAUUCUUCACUCUAAACCCUUCCCUUGAGCACCAGAGAUGAUCAUCCAUACUAGAAACUAAUCAGUGAUGAAAAAUUCACUAGUAGUAUCUAUGAUGCCAUUGCUCAAUUUAUGAAUACCUCUCUCAACAUUGAUCUAAGAGUCUUCAAUGAAAUAUGGAAAGCUAACACACCCAAUAAGAUUAAGACUUUCCUUUGAAUUUUCACCUAUGGAAGAAUCCUCACCAAUGCUUACCUCAGUCAAAUAGGGUUGUACAUAGACCCCGAAUGCUCUUACUGCAACCUGGACACCACAACCUCUAAGCAUAUUUUCUUCCAAUGUCCCAAUGCUUUUGACUUCUAGAGAAAACUGCAAGAAACUGGGGUAAUCCCUAUAAUGACUACCCUUCACACCUUGGACAAUGUUAAUUGGGUAGUGUUGAUACCCAAUUUUAUCUCUCCAAACAUAAAAUUAACGCAUUCAGGCUCCCUGAUCAUUAAAUGACAUAAAAUGCAAUUUGUCGUAUAUUUUUUACAAUUGUUAAUAAAUUAUUAUUCCCUUCGUUUAAAAAAGAAUGACCUACUUUUCUUUUUAGUCUGUUUAAAAAAAGAAUGAUCCCUUUCUUUUUUUGGCAAUACUUUAAUUUCAAUUUUCCACAUAGCAUGUUUAGGACCACAAGAUUAAAGGGCAUUUUGGUACAUUUGACACAACUUUAAUUUAAGGCCACAAGAUUAAAAAGUCUUCUUCAUUUUCUUAAACUUUGUGUCAAGUCAAAGUUGAUCAUUCUUUUUUAAACGAGGGAGUAAUAAUCAUCAUUAUUUUAAAAUUUUUAUCAAUUUAUUGUCAUAUUUUAACUUUGCAUAAUUUAUUGAUAAUUAUUCUUAAUUUCAUAAAUUUUAAAAUUUUUGUCAGUUUAUUAUCAUUUUAAUUUCUUGUACAGUCAUUUGCAUGCGUAUAUAGCAUAGCACUGCAAUUUUUUUACCGUACAUUAUAAUUUUAAUUGUUUAUAGUAUAAUAUAUUUUUUUGGAUAAUUUUAUUAUAUUUGUUAUUUACAUUUUUCUGUAAUUAUAUAUCGACAUUCAUAUUUUUAUACGUUAUUUAAUAUAGUCUGCAAACGAUAAUUUCGACUUAAUUAUUUUGAUACAUGGAGCAACAAAUCAGUCAAAUCAAAAUCUGAUCACUUUUUAAAAAGUGACAUUUGAGAUGAUAGGUUAAUGCUUUCAUUCGUUGAAUAAAUAAUCUUUACACAUUGGUUAAAAGGGUGUAAGACCCAUGGGAUAAUAUGUAGUAACUUAAAUCAUUUACUCUCUUCGUUUAAAAAUGAUGACCUACUUUGAUUUGACACAAAGUUUAAGAAAAUAAAAUUUUUUUUUUGAAUCUUGUGGCCUUAAAUUAAAGUUGUGUCAAAUACACCAAAAUAUCCUUUAAUCUUAUGGUCCUAAAUAUAUCAUGUGAAAAGUUGAAAUUAAAGUAUUACAAAAAAAAAGAGAUCAUUCUUUCUAAAAUGGAUUAAAAAUAAAAUAAGUCAUUCUUUUUUAAAUGGAGAGAGUAUUAAAGAGACAAGAAGAGGUAGUUUAUUAUUUUUUUUGGAUAAAAAAAUGAAUUCCUCCUUAUUAUAAAUAAUAAUAAGAGGGUAAUUAUUUUUAACCUCACAGUGCAUACACAAACGCACAUGCACACAGACACACAUACCUCCCCAUUCUCUCUCUCACCAUCUCCGACAGCCUGACAGGCGGAGCACCACCAGUCGCUGCCCCUCUCUCUCCUCUUCCCUCUCUCCUUCUCCUUCACUGUCGCCAACAAAAUCGACCGGAGCCGUUACCGCACCCAAUCCCCCGUUUUCUCUCUCCGCUUCAGCACCACCAGCUGCCACCACCGCCUCAACAUCCACCAGAGGAGCAUCCAACCAGACAAGCCAGCAGCCCAUUCCACCCGUGUUUCCACCACUGUCGUUGGAGCUUCCACGGGUCUCACUGCCAUCGCCACCCUUUCCCUCUUUGCCCUCAUCGUUGACCAGCCUACUAUCACUACUGUAUUUUCUCCCUUUACCUGCAUUUUUUAAUAAAAACUAUUCUUUGCAGAUCUGUUUGGCUUUCGUAUUUUUUGGUGUUGCUUCGGUGAAAUCCGUGGAAGCAGCGCCUCCCUUUUUCCAUUGUUGCAACCAGAUCUGACCGGGAAAUAUUUUUCUUUGUUGAAAUCUGUUUGUUAGCUUGUAUACUCUUGUAUCGUUAGUUUGUUCUAUCUGGAUAUUGUUACUGUGUUAACGGACUAAGUUUGUUAAUUUUUUUUUUUGUCUUUUGUUCGAAGAUAAAUCAGCUCGGAACUUACAUUCUUUUUGACAAAUUUUGGAUUAUUUUGAUAAAACUGUGAUGACCUCUGCCACUCGACUGCUUUCUUUCAUAAUUUUAUCACUUUUGCUUUAUGCUAUUAUCUUUCUCUGUCUCUUUAUUAUUAUUAUUAUUAUUAUUAUUAUUAUUAUUAUUUGUGGACUGAUUUAGUAUUGUUUAAAUUUAAAUUUUUUUCCAUUGACUUGCUAUUAUUUUACUUGAUUAUAUGAUCACUUAAAUAUGUGUUCUUGAUUCAUUUGAUAUUGAUGCGUAUUUUAAAUGACACGUGUAAUCUGUCUUUUUCUGUUUAUUUUUCAAUGAUUUUAGGUAG